rnacentral:lncRNA from 1 species
UUGAAGUUACACUUAAGGAAACCCAUAGUUGCCAAGUUGAGUUGAAGAGUUCUACCCCCAUCAGGCUUUCAAUUUACUACCUCAUUCGAUUACUUUUUUAUUCUUGUUUAGUUGCCUAUAUAAUAUUGUUGAACAAAUGUUUAAUAUGGAAGAAGCUUGUUUAAUUACCUAUAUACUUUUGUUGAACAAAUGUUUAACUUGGUAGAAGCUUGUCGAGAAAUUAACGAUAAUUACUAUAGAUGAUUUUCAGCAGAAAUAAAACACUUGAAGUCAGCAAUGAACACGUGUCAAUCAAUAAGAUGAAAUUAUCUUGAGAUUUACAUCGGUGCUAUCCAAUCAAGGAAUACACAAAUGUAUCUUUGAACUUUUACUUAAUGUUUAUUUUUUUCCAAAUUUUUGGAAAGUUUUCAAUUUACUUGAAUAUUUAAAAGCAAUAAAGGCAUACAAGAAUAACAAGAAGCUAACUCGCAAGUCAACUAACCCCCAAACUGAUAGAUACAUUGUCUGAAUGUACGAACAAAAAUAAGUUAAGGAUUAAUAGAAAUCCUUCCCAUGUUAUAUAAUGAUCCAUCUCUAGCGUGUACCCAAGAAUUGAUUUGUGCGACAUAGUUUCACCCCAAGCUUAGAGUGCUUUUAUAGUCCCGAACACGUGGGUAUCUAUUCACGAAAUAUUUCUUUCGAUUUGUUUCCGCAAGUGUACUACUUGCAACAAGUAAUAAGUGGAAAAUUGAGUCCAAAUGUCGUCCACAGAUUGAGUAGCCUAACUUUAUCCAACAAGAUAAAUGUGACUUGAUAAGCCCUAACCUAGAUUAAAUAUGCAAUUGGAUGUGAAUUUAAUGAACUAAAAAGCAAAAUUGUGUUUUAAAUACAAGAUUGAUGUAACUAAUGAAUGGAAAGUGCACUAGAAUCACAAAUCCAAAGCAAUCCUUGCUUUUUAACCCUAGUUCCACAAUUUGACAACGCGUUGAAGUUUUGAAAAAUUAAUGCUCCUAAAUCUAUUCUACAAUCUCUAUCGAGUAAUGUUGAACAUAUUUUCAUAUACCACUAGCCUAUAUCUCUAUAACGGGUGCAACUAUACAAGAAUAGAUGUGGUUUUGUGAACACUUAAAGAUUCACACAAGGCAUAGAGGUAUAUCUCUUUCCCCUGUCAGACCCUAUAAUGAUUUAUACCCUGUCGAAUUAUCUCGAAUGCAUGAAAUAAGUUACUACACUCACAUAAUUACGUGCACAUAAUCAUGGAAGACAUUAAUUGUAUAUAAAUCAUUCAACAAUUCAUAACAUGUUUUGAUGUCAAAAUUGCAAAACUAGAAAUUAAAUAGUUAUAUCACAAUGUCCAUCGAUCUCCUAACAAAUAAAAAUCUAGCCUAGCAUGGUGGAAGUAAGAAAACAAAACGAAUUUUGAAGAAGCGGCACCAUCCAAUUAAUUGUUGAUUUGAAUCUUCACAUCUUCGUGUUUCUUCCUUGUUCUAUGCUCUCAAAACCCUUGGGAAUAUGUUAGAAUGCAUGGUGUCAGUUUAGGGACAGCUCUAGGGUUGUAAAAUACCUUCCAAGAUUUGUUUCGAUAAAAAUUUCAGUUAGAUAAGGAAACUAGAUUUUUUUUGCCACGAUUGGCCUGGGCAGUCGCCCAGUAAGUGUUCCUUGAUGUUGGACUGUUGCCCAGUUUAUAAAAACUUUCGAAUGUUGCAUUUUAGUCCUCGAAAUCAAUUUUUGUACUUUCAAAUCCUUUCUUUUACAAUUUCAACCCUUUGACUUUUAAUUGCAUUCAAUUGAACCCACAGCAUCUUCAAUCCUCAUUUUGUGGUCUGAAUCAACUAUUAAAAUGUUGCAAUUUAGCCCUCAUACUUUGGAUUUUUCCUUUUUCUUUUCCAAUUGCUUAGAAACAAGUUCAUCACUAAAAUAAACAAAGUAAUAUGGUCCAAAUAAAUGGAUAGAAUGCACUUAUUAGUAUCGAAGAAAAUAAUAAUGAAUAAAUUAUUUUUAGGACGACAAUCUGUUAGAUAAAUUCAGUUUGAAUAAAAAUAAAAACAACUAUACUAUGAAUUCAAAAAUAGCACUCUUUUGGAUUGGAAAAAAAAAAAAAAAGUACCUGUGUACUACAAUUGCUCGAAACAACUUAAAAGUAGAGAAAUCAAAACUCAAAUCCUAAAUUUAAGUGUUUAACAUCACAUAAUCACAAGAAAAUCAAAGAAUACAUCUUUUCUGGCAAAACCAUUCAAAAUUCCAUUUUCUUAAACACUAAUUUUCAAAUACACAUUUCAUUGCUAUAUUCUUAAUUACAACCUCAAAUAUAUAUCAAUAAAACCUAAUUCUUGCUAAACUUUUGAAUUAAAGCAAAUUUUCCAUAAACUCUAAAAAUUCAAGUAACAUAAAUUUUAGUUACCUCUUGAAAAUAAGAAAAAUUGAGGAAUGAAAACCCCAGGCUUAAAAAGUCCACACUCUUUCAUCUUCUCCUUCUUCUUUUAAUUUUUAUUUUUCUUUUCUUUUUUUCCCCUUCCUUUUUCUCCCUGUUCGUUCUGUUUAUGCUUUCUAUUUUUCUUUUUCCCUAAAAUGAUAGGCAUAGCCCUUGUUUGAGCCCCAUUUUUGUCAAAAAAUUCUUUUUUGAAUAGUGUAAUAAUGUGAAAUGUGUGGUUAAAAAAUAAAGAAAAGUUUUGAUUUGCAUGUAUUAUUAUUUUAUUGAAAAAAUUGUGAUCUAAAUGAUGUCAAAACAAUGUUUAAAAAUAUUUUUUCCCCAAAAAAUGGGGCUUAAACAAGGCGUAAAUGGACUCAUAUGUUUAAAUUUAAUGGAUGGCUAUGAGUAAUUGCAAGUCAAGUAACCAAUCUUUAUAUAACAUAACAUUUAGUCUUUGAAUUUUCAAUAAGAGAAAAUAAGUCCCUAGAUUCCUUUAUUAUAUCAUUUUUAGCCCUCGGGUAUUUGUAAUUACAAUUUAAGUGCUUCCCAUGAAAAAUUAUUUAUUCACCUUAAGUCCUUAAUUGACUUUGACUAAAUAGCCACUUGACUUUAAUUGUAAAUGAGUGAGGUAUAACAGUUGGGCUCAAUCUCUUAAUGAACAUGUCAUCGACACCUAUAGUUGGGCUCAAUCUCUUAAUGAAUAUGUCAUCGACACCUUAAUGCUUUUACCAAUGAGAUAUGCAAAAACUUUAUUGACCAGACUAUAACAUGUUGCACUUGGUUUCCUUAAACUGAAGUAAUGACCUCGUAAUAGUAUAUCCCUAAGUUGGUCACAUAUAAAAUACUUUUCUUGUCCCCUUCAUCCAUCCAUAUCUAGUGAUGGCCCAAGAAGGUGUCAAGUAAGAUGUAUAUCUGAAGCCUCGAGUUUGAGUCCACAAGGUGAUUGGUCCCGCUUAGGCAGUUGUAUUUAGGAAAUGCAAUGUUGAGGUCGAUAUAGUCAACACAAACCCACAACUUGUAAUUUGCCUUUUUCACAAAGUACAAUAUUGAUGAGCCAGUCUAGGUAGUGUACAUCUAGGAUGGAUUUGGCUUUAAUCAAGUGAUUGAUCUCCUUCUUUAUAAACUCUCUCCAUUCUAUUACAAAGAAUCUUUUCAUCAUGGGAUCACAUUUAGCCAGUUUAUCUUUGUUGUAUCCGAUUAGACAUUCAACCAUUUAUUCUUGGAGGGGACCAUUUAGGCCUGAUCUUGACAUUACGGUCUUGUCCUCAUCGAGGACUAAAUCCAUGAGCGUGUUACAUGGCAAUAGUCUCAAGGGAUCAAUGAUGAUGAGUAUGCUUUUUUGUUUUGAUGUAUGAUGUUGGAAAAUACGGGUCGUGAGUCACUCAUAUGGGAUAAUCCCUACCCAUAAGAUAUUAAAAGUGUUGGAAAAACUGGUUUGAACUUUAAAUUCAAAUGUACAACUCUUCAUAACCUCCCUUAACUCAUCCACAUGACCUCUAAUAAUUGUCCAGGACAAAGAGAGAAGAUAAAUGGCAAAAAUAUGGUAAAAUUCGUAUGAAAACUACCACAAAAAUUGAAAAAUGCCAAGAACCAUAAAAUUAUGCACUUGGAUUGUGGAUAAUAAUCCCCUUCCAUUGUGAUCAGAAUUGAGACCAUUUGAGUGCUAAAAUAUGAAAAAUCAGGACAUACAAUAACAAGAUGAUUUAGCCACACAAAGAUCAUGGAAUUCAUCAUUUUAAAUAAGAAUUAUUGAUAUGAACUUAUGGUCAAGCUUGCUGCAAUUUCUUUUGUUGGUAAUUGACGCCGGGUAGGAUAAUGAUUAUCCUAUUGGCUUGUUGUAGCAGAUGAUUCGCAAGAAAAGAACGACAGAAAACGCCCAAAAACCAGAGAAAAUACUCUGAAUUCAACUCAAUAUUAUUAAUAACGCAGAAUGAUGAAAACUAACCCACAAGCCGGGUUAAAUAGCUGCGAAAUACGAAAUUAUGGGAAAAUUACCAAAAAUGGCAAAAUCCCAAAAAUUAUACCAAAAUAAAAUAUUAAGUAAAAGAAGUAAGUUGCCAAAAAUUUGGCUCAAUUCGAGUUUUCUAACAUAUGGAAAAAAGGAAACGAAAUAUUACCAUAAAUAGUAAAAAAUAACUUAAAAUUGAAUUUUGGAAAGAAAACAGUGGAUUUUGGGCUCGAAAUUGACAUCCACCAGCAUAGCUCGGUGGCCACGAUGUGCGCGCUGAAGAGAGCUUUCCGAAUUGGGGUCAUAAUAGCGAUUCCGAUAACCGUAGCCAAAGUUAUGGCCAAAUUACCAAAGACGCGUCAAAUUCCCCCAAUUAUGGAAAUAAUGGUGAUUCACUUUCCAUCUUUGCGCCGAUCCGCCAUCUCAUGAUAUCUCAGCGCCAUCAUCGUACUAUCUGACAAAUCAGCAUCACUUGAUUCGGAUCCUCCUGCAUCAGUCGCCCCAGGUUGGAAAGAACUCGCCCUCGAGUUCACAGUAACUUCAUCGGACUCCAUAAAACAAGGGCUUAGGUGUUUUACAUUGAAGACCUUAGAGGUCUUCAAAUGGCUCGGGAGGCGUAAUCUGUAAGCAUUAUCAUUGAUCUUCUGCUGGAAAUUCUGAAUCCACAUUCGCUGUACUAUUUUCACGAGGCAUUAAAGCAUAAACUAUUUUUUCACGCUCAACCUCAAUCAAGAACCUAGACAUCGAAAGUAGAUUGGGGUUUUUAACUACCGGGGCAGGGGUGUUUCCUUCCCUGCGAGGCACCAAAACAAUUCUCUUUCCUUUGAUGCUAAGAGAAUAAGUAUUCUUCCGCCCAUCAUGGAUAACACUGCGAUCAUACUGCCAAGGUCGUCCCAACAAAACAUGACACGCGUCCAUUGACACCACAUCACACCAAGCAUUAUCAAAAUAUUUUUUCCCAAUCGAGAAAGACACUAAGCAUCGUUUUUCUACCGUUGCCUCACUGCCUUUAUUUAGCCAAGAUAACUUGUAUGGUUUAGGAUGAUGAUCCAUCUUCAGUUGCAGUUUCUCGAUAGCCUCCUCAGACACUACAUUCUCACAAUUGCCACUAUCAAUUAUCAGUUUACAGACUUUAUCAGCAACUGUGCAGGUUGUGUGGAAAACGUUGGUCCUCAACCAAUCAUCCCCUGAGUCUCCCUUGGGAGUCAGCAGGCUCUUUCGAACGACCAGGGUCUCCUGACCAUCUCCAUAUAGCACGUCCUCAUCUUCACCCUCAUCAUACACGGGUUCCCCAACUUCCUCAAACUCCUCUAUCAUAUCCUCCUCAAUCAGAAGAUUUUUAUUUUUCUGACCAGCAGGCUUCCUACAAUCAGUCGCCCUAUGCCCCUGUUCACCACACUUAAAGCACUUAAUACUUGAGCUGGAACUAUCCCACUGUGGCUGAUAAGCAGGGCGAGAUUCUUGAGGACGAACUGGCUGACUUCCUUCACCUCUGACCACUGGCCUCCAACUUUGCUGUUUCUCUACUGCAAGUGCUCACUGAUAUGCCUCAGAAACUGUCCACAAUGAAUGAAGGCUGAGAACAUCCUGCAGGGGCUGCCUUAAUCCCCCCAAAUACCGUGCUAUCAUCUGCUCCUCCGUCUCAGAUAAAUCAUUUCAAGCCACCAACUGAUAGAAUUCUUCAGUAUAAUCAUUAACUGAUCUUGCGCCUUGCCUUAGUGAAUGAAGCCUCUGGAACAAUGUUUGAGUAUAGCCGAAAGGGAGGAAGUGCCAUUUCAUCUUCUUCUUCAUCUUCUCCCAGUUAGUAAUUUUGGAUUUCCCCUGUCGCUUCCGUGAACGCUUCAACUGUUCCCACCAUGCAGAUGCCCUACCUUUGAGUUUGAUGGCGACUAGUUUCACUUUGACACGAUCUGGAACCUCCUUAUAUUCAAAAAUCCGCUCUACUUCAUUCAGCCAAUCAAUAAAUCCUUCAGCCUGCAACGUACUAGAAAACUCGGGCAGAUCCACUCUAAAAACCGAGAUCCACAUGACGAUCCUCCCGUCCACGAUGCUCCCAAACUCGAGCACGGUGGUGAUAUGGGUUUUCGAAACUGGUAUCGAAAUCGUGACCUUCUACAUCAUGAUUACCGAACUCCUGCUCCGCCAAAUGUUGGGUUAACUCCGCAACUUGUCUCUGCAAAUCUUCAAUCAUCACAUCCUGAAUAUUACGAUCACGGUGUUGGACUUCCUCAAUCAGAACCUGUCCUCGACGACCACGACCACGUCCACCAACCAUUAGAACUGAUGGAAUUUAUCUCCCAAGAAGAUGCUGACGCUCUGAUACCAACUGACGCCGAAGUAGGAUAGUGAUUAUCCUAUUGGCUUGUUGUAGCAGAUGAUUCCAAGAAAAGAACGAUAGAAAAUGCCCAAAAAACCAGAGAAAAUACUCUGAAUUCAACUCAAUAUUAUUAAUAACGCAAAAUGAUGAAAACGAACCCACAAGCCGGGUUAAAUAGCUGCGAGAUACGAAAUUAUGGGAAAAUUACCAAAAAUGGCAAAAUCCCAAAAAUUAUACCAAAAUAAAAUAUUAAGUAAAAGAAGUAAGUUGCCAAAAAUUUGGCUUAAUUCGAGUUUUCUAACAUAUGGAAAAAAGGAAACGAAAUAUUACCAUAAAUAGUAAAAAAUAACUUAAAAUUGAAUUUUGGAAAGGAAAAUAGUGGAUUUUGGGCUCGAAAUUGACGUCCACCGAGCAUAGUGGCCACGAUGUGCGCGCCGAAGAGAGCUUUCCGAAUUGGGGUCAUAAUAGCAAUUCUGAUAACCGUAGCCAAAGCCAUGGCCAAAUUACCAAAGAUGCAUCAAAUUCCUCCAAUUACGGAAAUAAUGGUGAUUCACUUUCCAUCUUUGCGCCGAUCCGCCAUCUCAUGGUAUCUCAGUGCCAUCAUCGUGCUAUCUGACAAAUCAGCAUCACUUGACUUGAAUCCUCCUGCAUCAGUAAUAAAGCCAUAAGAUUGAAUUCCUUGUUGUAAUACAUGCUUAAGUAUGCUACAUGAUUCAAUUGGGUUAUAAAUCUUGUAUUCAAAGUUUUGAAACCUAAUGUGGUCUUUAUUGGCAUUUUUUGGUAACAUGUCUAAAAUUAACAAAUUUCUUGAAUUACGUAUAUAAUAUGCUUUAGAGUUCAGCUGCUUCAUCAAUUGUCGUUUUUGGAUUUGGGAGAAAAUUGAAAUCCUAGUUGAUUUUGCAGAAACUUUAUAGAAAUUUACUACUUUUUGUAUGUUGAUGAUUAUGUAGUAAGAUUGGUAUGGAUAGAAAGAUAAACUUUUUCAACCGUAUAAAGAACAAUAAUUUUGGACAUAAAAUGAAGAAGUUAUGUGGAUUUGAAGAUUAGGUUGAAAUCUAAAAAUUUAAGAAAAAUUGGAGAAGAUGAUGGUGCAAUGUACACAUGAGAAGAAAAGGCACCAAUCAAGAGGCAAGAAAUCUGUUAGAUUUCAAUAGACAAUAGUAAUGGAUCAUUCACAUUAAAAGUAUUUCCAAUCAAUGUUCCCUAAGGAGAAGCCACUCUUUGUCUUUAAUAAAACACUAGUCAAUAUCUAGAAAGAGCUAGAGUCUGGUUAAAAAAUUAAUUGCUGGAGAAGAGGUCAUAAAAGACAUAGUAAACAAGUCAAUCUCGAAUAUAUAUUUUACGAUUAUUUAAUUCAACACUUUUGAUUAUAAUAAUUUUUUUUUCAUAAAUCAUUGAAAUUUUUAUCCAGCAGCUCAUGUAAAAUCAUUGUUGUCAUACGUGGAUUCUAACAAUUUGACACUAGUAUCCAAAGAAUGUUCUUCCUAUCUUUCAUUUCAUCUAGGUAGCAAACACUGAAGAAGUUUAAUUUAAUUAAUGCUUCCUAAUAGGAAUUUGUUUAACAUUCGUUGAACUAUAAUGCUAUCAAUAACUUGGAGUAAAGAUGUUUCCAUAUAUGUCUCCAAUCAGUUGAGGUGUCUCUAUGAAGAGGUGCUAUAUGCUAUCAAUAAUGGAACAAAAUCAUAUACAUAUCAGGAAAUGCAAUAGAAAAAGUGAUUAUGGUGCAGUAUGCACAAUGGAAGAAAAGGGAUAAAUCAAGAGGCUAGAGAUAUAUAUGUCAAUUCCAAUAAUAAUUUCAAUUUACUAUGAGUCCAUUCCCAUUAAAUUUCUUUCCAAUAAAAGCUCCCAAUUGAGAAGCCACUCUUACGGUUUCAUGCAAAACCUGUUCAUAUUUAGAAACAUGUAUAGUUAGCUUAAGUAAAUAGAUUGUAGGAGAAUGUUUAGUUAAUAAAAAAAAAUGAACAAAUAAAAUGAUAAAAAAGUUUAGCUAAUAUAGUUAUGAUCAUAGGAUGCAACUCUAACCAUAGAAAUUACCUAUAGGAACAUUUUUACAUGGUAAAACGUAUAAAUUUGUGGCGAGGCCAUUGAACACUUAUUCAUGUAAUGAUGAAUACUUUAUAUUUUUUACAUGUCUUCUCCCUUGUAUGUGUACAAAAGAACUCGUGAUCACAUGCAUGCACUUUAUAAUUGAAGUAUUUUUUAUAAGAAAUAAAUCCUCAUCACAUCAUCAUUAUAUUCCACCAUUUCACAUAUGCAAAAACAUGGAGUCAUAAUAUUCUAAACAUGUGCUUGCAUAAUGAAAAACAAUAAUUUAUUGGAUAUAAAUUUAUUAAAUGCGUAAGAACGAUAAGAAAAGUUAAAUGAAAAAUCUAGUUAAAUAAUUUGCAUUAGCUCGUGCAUUUCUUGUUCUUUCAUUUAUAAACUGUGACCAAACUUUAACCGUUUAACUUAAAUUUACUCCAACUCUGUUGAAAUAAUGCAUGGAUUCGGCCAAAUAUUCUUUUCAAAUACCAUACCAAUGUUUGAACAUUUUCCAAUGUUGGAAGAAGGACAAUUAAUUUAUUCCAUCUUACAUUUUCAAUGUAGAAAAAGGACAAUCAAUUAUUUCAUCUUAACAAUUCACUCACCAAAUUUCGUACGGAACGAAUUCUUCCAAUUAAUUUUCUUUUCUUUUCAAAAUUGACACGUUUUCAAUUAUGACAUGUUUUUGGUGACAAUCCUGGUAAGAAAAUAAAACGGAUCGAGUUAGGGGAACGUAAUGGUUGAUAUAGGGGAUGACCGAACACACACCUCAGGGUCGGGCAUUAUUUUAUUCAUGUGGGACCUGUACACUUUGUGAGGAUCGAUUAUCCCGGAUAUCAAACAUUUUCAGGCAAAGUAACAUUUUCCAAAUAAAACAAUUGCUAACAUCUUAAAAAUCGGUUAGGGAUUUUUUUACUAUUAAAAAUAAAUUUAUGUUAGGUUAACUUCAUUUUGUCACAUGACCUUUGUACUCGGAAUAUUUUACGAGAGGGAAAAUAUAUGUGUGUGUGUGUGUGGAGAAAAACAAUACAUAUUUUAUGGAAUAAACUUCAAAAUCGAAGAAAAAUUAUAGACUAUCGAAGACUUAUAUAAUAUAAUAAGAAAUUAUUCCAAAUAUAUAUAAUUUCUUGACCUCCCUACCCCUCAAUUAUCACACAACAUAUGCUUUGCCACACCCACAAUAUUUUUCAUUUGAACAAACAACAAAGACAACAAAAAUACUAGCUCAACAAUAGACUAAUUUUUUGCUUUCUGGCCUAUACACGAAAGAAAACUAAACAUGUCAAGUUACAAAUAAAGUGUGACCAAACUUUAACAGUUUAACCAAAAUUUGCUCCAACUCAGCUGAAAUAAUGCAUGGGUUCAGUCAAAUAUUCUUUUCCAAUGCCAUACCAAUUUUUGAACAUUUUCCAAAGUAGAAAAAAAGGGAAUUCUUUUAUAUCACUAACCUAAUUCGUAUGGGAAAGAUUCUCCAAAUUAAUUUCCUUUCGUUUUUAAAAUUGAUAUAUUUUCAAUUAUGACAUGUUUUUGGUAACAAUCCACAAAAUAAAUAAAUAAAUAAAAAUAAUAAAUAAAUAAAAUAAAAUAAAAUAAAAUAAAAUACUGAUAACAUUUGAUAAGGUAUGAAGAAUAGGUUAGGCCUUUUUGUAUUAUUGAAAAUAAAUUUAGGCAUUCAAUUUAUGUUAGGCCUACCAUGGAUACGAUGAUAUAAAUAAAGAUCAUGAAAUGGGUUAGAAUGACGAUGAAAUAGAAUUCUGAAUUGCAAAUAAUAUUUAUCAACUAUUAAAACUAAAAAAUAAAAAUAAAAAAUUUAAGAAAAUCAUGUUUUUUUUAAGUUUAUUGAAACAUAUGAACUAAAAAUCAUAAAGAGUUUAAGAUUAAUUUUGAUAGGAAGGAAUGUUAGUCAAGAAAAUGAUUUGACUCAAAAAGUUAAAAUCUAGUCUGUCUCAAUCUAUUUAAAUUAAUCUUUUUAUUGUUUAGAAUGGGUUCACGAGUCUAAUGAUGAUGUCACAAAAACUAAUGUGUAAUUUUACCUGAAUUUGUCUGAAAAUAGUAAAGUCUUAAUUAAACAAUUAGUUUUGAUUAAAAAUAGAAGCAAAAUUUAAAAUGGAAAAGAGCUCCUCAUUCAUUACUGGAUUGAAACUUCCACAUGUAGAAGGAAGAAUAAAUAUGAUAUUUUUUACUUGAAAAAUAAACUGCAAUAAAUUUUGAGCUCUAUUUAUUAUCUCCUAUAAUUCCUUCUAUCACAUGGCUAGCUUCAAAUUGUUGUAUAAAAAAUUUGAGCUAUUUCUUUAACCCGGAAAAUAAAAAACAAAAUAAAAAUUAGACUGUUAGUUCACUUAUGAAACCAUGAACUUUUUUGCUUAGUUUCUAUUAUUUUUGACAUAUUGAUUCGUUUAUUAUAGCUUUGUAUUUACACAGAUAAUUUCUUGUUUAAAAGUUAUUAAUGCAUAAGUUGUGAGAUGGAAAAAAAAAAGAAUCCAAUUGCUUUCUCAAUAUUGCAUUCUUGUGGAUCAAAUGUUUUGAAUGUUUUAUUUAUGGAAUUUCGUGUACUGUGAAAUAGCAAGGCUACAGAUUUUUAUUUUUUAUUUUUUAUUUUUCCUUAUUUUUCUAAUUUGGGGUGAAGACAUUUAUUUAGUUCCUAUUUUAGAUGAUAAAAUUUACAGACCUUACUCGAACAUCAGUAAACCAAUAUUUGCAUUCUGUUUUACAGUUUUGUCGGAAUUUAAAAUUGUCCAUGGAGAUGAUUUAAUCUUAAAUUAAGUGAAAUUUUUAAGUUGUACUUGAAAUACAUAUUCUCUCGACCUCAAAUAUAACACAAAUAUGUUUUACACACCCUUGAUAUUUAACAUUUGAAUAAUCGACGAAGGCAAUAAAAAAUUAGCUGAAUGACAGACUGUGUCUUUUUUCCUUUUUGGUCUUCUAUACACAAAAGAAAACAAAACAUGUUAAAGUUAGAACAUCCUUAUUUGUCUUCCUUUAAAACAAAAUUCUUUGAUUCUCAUACUAAUUUUUAACUAUAUAUUUUUUUAAUAAAAUAUUUUGCACGUAAAUUCAAAACUUUUACAUAAUUUUCAAUCACAAAUUGUCCAAAAAAUAUCGCUAUUCAAAAAUCAAAAUUUUCAAAAAAUGGCCAUCGAACGGGGUUUGUAAAGCAUAUCGUAUAUAUAAUAGAGAGUCUUUAAAUUUAAUGAGAAAAAAUUUAUUCACUCUAAUAAUUGUCUUUAUUUUGACUCUUCAUUUCGUGUAUUUGAAAAAUAUUUAUUUGUGUUUUUCCUUUAUUUAACAAAUUUUUAUAUGUCAUUAGCCAAUCAAUUCAAUAUGAUCGAAUAAUUUAAGAAAUAUAAUUUGUAGCUUAUUAAAUGAUAUCGUUAUAAAAUAAAAAGAAAGAGUAUAUUUGACUCUAGAGUAAAAUUGCCUCUCUAUUUUAAAAAGAUAGAAUAGAGAGUCUGUUUAAAAUAGAGAGUGUCUUGUGUUUAGAAAAUUUUUCGGAGAUGUUUUCAUAAAUAAACUGUGACCAAACUUCAACCGUUUAACUUAAAUUUGGUCCAAUGCUCUUGAACUAAUGCAUGGAUUCGCCCAAAUAUUCUUUUCAAAUACCAUACCAACUUUUGAACAUUUUCCAAUGUUGGCAGAAGGACAAUUAAUUUAUUUCAUCUUACAUUUUCAAUGUUGAAAAAGGACACUCAAUUAUUUCAUCUUAACAAUUCACUCACCAAAUUUGUACGGAACGAAUUCUUCCAAUUAAUUUUCUUUCCCUUUCAAAAUUGAUACGUUUUCAAUUAUGACAUGUUUUUGGUAAAAAUCCUUGAAAGAAAGUAAAAAGGACCGAGCUAGGGAAACAUAAUAGAUAACGUAGGGUAUAAUCAAACACACACAACUCGGGGGGUCGGGCAUUAUUUAACUCACUUGGGACGUCGCACUUUGUGAGGGUCGAUCAUCCCAAGUGUCAAACAUUUUUCGGGAGAAAGUGGCAUUUUCCAAAUAAACAAGUUGCUAACAUCUUAAAAAUAGGGUAGGUCUUUUUUACUAUUAAAAAUAAAUUUAAGCUUUCAAUUUAUGUUAGGUCAACUUCAUUUUUUCACAUGACCUUUGUACUCGGAAUAUUUUACAAGAGUGAAAAAAUAUGUAUGUAUAUAUAUAUGGAGAAAACGAUACAUAUUUUAUGAAAUAAAUUUCAAAAUCGAAGAAAAAUUACAGACUAUCGAAGACUAAUAAACUACAUAAGAUAUAAGAAAUUAUUCCAAAUACAUAUAAUUUCUCGACCUUCCUACCCCUCAAUUAUCACACAACACAACACAUGCUUUGCCACACCCAGAAUAUUUUUCAUUUGAACAAAUAACAAAGACAACAAGAAUACUAGCUUAAUAAUGGACUAUUUUUUUGCUUUUUGGCCUAUACACAAAAGAAACCAAACAUGUCAAGUUACUAAUAAAGUGCGACCAAACUUUCAAAGUUUAACCAAAAUUUGCUCCAACUCAGCUGAAAUAAUGCAUGGGUUCAGUCAAUUAUUCUUUGGUUUUGCUAGUAGUACAUCGGGAUGUACCUAAUGGUGUACACCCCACUCACAUGGGCGAGGGACCCACUCGAAUAAAACAUCCUUUCUUUCACAUGGAUCCCACACCCAUGUGAGUGAGGUGUACACCAUUCGAUACAUUCCAUUAUGUACCACUAGACAAAUUCAUUAUUCUUUUCCAACGCCAUACCAACUUUUGAACUUUUUCAAAUGUAGAAAAAAGAGAAUUCUUCGAUAUCAUUAACUGUUGUCGAUUUUAUCCCGCAAGUCGAUCCCACAGGACUAUACUUUAGCACGUAAUUCAAAUUUCUUUAACCACUAUUUGAUGAAAAUAAACAAAAAUGAUGAUCGAUUGUGAUUUUUGAUCUAACUACUUAUGAGAAUGAAUGCAACAAAAAGUGAUUUGGAAUUCAAAAAAUAAAUGGAUGUUAGGGCGGAACAACUUCACUUAUUGGUCACAUUUACUUCUAAUAUCGAGAUUCAAAAAAUGUAAAGUAGUGUUCGAUCAAAUUCUUGUUCGAUCAAAUUCUUCUCUUGUAUUCAAUUUACCGCUCUUGAAUUCUCAUUGAGCAUAUUUAACUACUUCAAUUCCAUAUCUCUAUAUGAAUCAAACUUAGUUAAACACACUAAUAGUUCUAAGAAUUCAUUUAUGACCGCAGCAAUUAAUAUAGGCAUCUCUACACGUUAUGUUAAUUUACCAAAUUUUAAUAUGUAGUCUAAACAAGAAUCCCCAUCUCUACGCAUUUAUUGUUCAUGAAAUCAUUGAAUAAUUGGUUAGAAAAUUCAAAGCAUUAUGAACAUGAUUAAAAUCCACACAUAUAAUCAUAACGAACAAUAAUCUCAAAUAAAAUAAAUAAAGGGUUCCAAAUAGGUUAUAUUGUUUGCCCUAAAAUUAGAUUUAGCAUCUCAUAGUAAUGAAAGAAAAAUAAGAAAUUAUUAUGGAAGAGAUCACUGAAUUUUGAAUGCAUAUAGAAUAAGAAACCAAUCUUGCACCAAGAUCUUCAUCCUCUUCCAAUCAAUGCGUUAAACCUUCAAUUUCUUGAUGUUUUCCUCUGAAUUCCUCUUUUUGAUUCUCUAAUUAUGUUCUUUUGCCUCUCAAUGCUAAACCCCGCCCCCCCCCCCCAAAAAAAGGUGUGAGAAACUUGUAUUUAUAAGUGCCUCCUUGUAUAUGUAGAAAGUGUGAUUUUUAUGGAUUUCAAAAUGGGCCAAAAAACGCACCCUAAAUGUACCUAGUGGCGCCUUGACUCCUUGAAGUGGCGUCGUGGCGCCACCUUUGAGGCAAACAACAUGUCGCUUAGUAUUUUUAUUAUAACUUUCUUUUCCGAUAUCCAAUUGAGGCGAUUAAAGUUGUGUUGGAAUGCUAACUCAAAGAGCUACAAUUUUUUUUCCGAUACCAUUUUCAAGUUUGAUCAUUUGUUAUGUCAAAAACGAGUCUCAAUAUGAGUCUGAAAACGGUGCAUACAUUUUUUUUGGUUGAAAUUAGAUGUGUGAUCAUACUUUGAUUAUAUUUCAUUCCUUUGAUGUCUUUCUUUAUCCAAUUGACUUCGAGCACUUUUGAAUCUUCAUCGUGAGGUCUGACACAAAUUUUGAGUAUUUGUACUUUAGUCCCCCGAACUUUGGAUCUCUUACAACUUAGUCAUUUUCUCCAAUUUUGUCAACUUUUGCUUAUUUCCUUGAAUUUCUUGUAAUGUCAUUGAAUUUUACCUAUUCAACACCAAAUGCAAUAAUUUAGACCAUAAUUCAUUCGAGAAACAACUAUAGAUCAUCGUUUUAAAGUUUUGAAUAAGUGUAUAAAAUACACUAAUCAAAUAUCUCCAAACUUAAACAUUUAUUUGUCCUCAAACAAAUCUAUCAUCUAAAUAGCUACCAACAUACAAGCAUACAAAAGAUAAUGGUUGGACAAUCAAGCUUUUUACCUCAGGAUUCGAGAUUUUGAUGUUUAUUCCACAAACAAGCUUCAAAGUCACAGUACCACAAAAAUAUCUACUUUUCCAGUGCAAAAGCGAUGUGUGUGUGUAUGUGUAGAAUUAAGAAAUCAACCAUAACUACACAAGUUGUUUUAAUUCCCGACCCUCUAUGGUAAAAUACAUCCUUACAUUUCUCGUAUGAUUCACACACACCUAAACUUACAUUUUUUCACUUGUUCCUAAUGUGUAACAUAAGGUUGAAUAUUUCAUUACUAUCUUCAUCCUCUCGAGUUUAGGUGGACAUUUGCAAGUCAACACUUCAGUGAUCAGAAAUUCUUUAAUUAUUUGAUUGCUUCGACUGUCACGACUUAACUAGCUAAUUAUUCUUCAUCAAAAGUCAAAUUUCAUUAAAUAAGUGUUAUGUCUUAACCAAGAUAUUUAGUGCUUUUGCCCUUUUUAUGCACUUGUUUUUUCUAUUUUUCACAAGUUUGUUUUUUUUUUCAUUAAGCUUUCUAGAUGACCCCUAUAGUAGGUUUUAGGUCGAUGCCUCUCAAAUCAGAUGAUUUUAGGACAAAAGGUUUUAAACACCCUUACAAGCUUAUUGAUCUGAAACAAAAAGGUUUCGAAGAGAACCAAUUUUUGUUUUAAGUGCAGCUUCAUCUUUAAUUGCCUUCUAAAUGACUCCUGUAACGUGCUUUAAGCUGAUGACUCCCAAGUCAUACAACUUUAGGGCACUAGGUUUUAAGAUAUCCUUGCAGACUUAAUUAUUGGAGUCAUAAAAACUUCAAAGAGAAAUAUUUAGAUUUCAAAUGUAUAUACCUUAAUCAGUGCAAUGCCCCUAUCACACACUUAUUCAAACAAACCAACAUCCAACUUAAGACUUUGGCCUAGUUUUAUUAUGUUAGUCUAAGACAAUCCACACACAAGUUUUCACAUAUGAAAUCCAAAUUCACAUCCGCAUCUUCCUAUAACUGUAAAGUCAUCCCGAAGUAUGCUAACUUUGGUCUAAGGAUAAAUAAUUUACUAUGGUUUAGGUAAAGCAUCUAUGUCCAAUUAAAUCAACCUUACAAACAAAUGAAUCAACUCAUUUUAUCACAGUGUCAAAUUCAAUUUUAGUGCACGUAUAAUAUUAAGUUUUGUAAGGUUAAGCUUCAAUAAUCAGUCUAGCAUGCGUCCUAUCCAUAGUUCAUAUAUCAACACCAAAACUCAAAGUAAAAUGUAAUUAUAAGCCAAACUUUUCAACUCACACAAAAAUUUUAGGUAGGCAAUUAGGAAAUUAAUAAUAAUACACUUUCCCAAACUUAAACUAAAUAUUAUCCUCAAUGUUAAACUUAAAGGAAAAUGAGGAGGACUUCUUUGAAAUGUCAAUAUUGCCUAUGAUGUUGUGAGACCUUGGUGUUGCAUUUGAUCGACUCUUCUUCCACAUCCCCCCCCCCCUAAAAUUGAGAUUUGUCCCAUUUUCUCCUUGUUCAUGUUGGUUUUAGAGUUCCACGAUGACAUCUUCCUAAAAAACCAAAUUUGAAAAAUUAAACUCAUGGAACAAGGGUUACUUAGCUCAAACAAUUAAUAACCAACUCAAUUACUCAAAUAUCUACGAGUAGAAGGGUAUGAGUGAUGAUUUCUGAAUAAACUAUACAUUAAACUAAGCUAUCCUAUAACUCGAAAACAAAAUAAAUAAAAAAAGCUUGGAUUACCUCCCAAGAUGCACUUCUUUUAAGUCAUUAGCUUAACUUGUGCCACUGAUUUAUCAUGGUGGCUAGAACCAAGUUAUUCCAUCAUUGCACUUUGUCCAAUUUUCAUUUAUACAGGCCCUUUUUGUUCUCCAGAUUUUGAUUUGUCCAUUCUCAUCUCUACCAAGAAGUCCCCCAAAAAUUAAUUUUCUGUUCUGACAGCUUCGUUGAUUAGGUAGCCCUUCUUCAUCAAUUCUACAACAAUCAAUUUUAUUGGGAGGUUUUUUUUAUUGAGUGUAAAUAUUGAAUAUCUCUUGCUUGUCUUCCAUUCUCAAGAUUAGUUCUCUCUUCUCCAUGUCAAAAAGGGUUCGUCCCCUUGCUAAGAAUUGCUAACCCAAUAUAACUGGAAUGUCUAGAUCUUCUCGUAUGUCCAAUACAAUGAAAUCCACAAAAAUUAUGAAAUUUCCUGCUUUUAUGAGUACAUCCUCAACUGUGCCAUGCGGCCUUGAAAUUGUUCUAUCAGCUAGUUGUAGCAUUAUUGAUGUUGAGUUGACUUUACCUAGUCCCAAUUUUCUAUAAACAGAAUACGACAUUAGAUUGAUGCUAGCACCCAUGUCACACAAUGCAUUAAUUGAACAGGAAUUUCCAAUUGAAAUUGGUAAAGUAAAACUCUUUUGAUCCUUCAAUUUAAGAGGUAAUUUGCUCAGGACUCUUGCACUACUUUUCUCAGUAAAUGCCACAGUUUCAAACUCCGAAAGCUUUCUUUUCUUUGUCAACAUCUCUUUUAAAAAUUUCGCGUAGUUUGGAAUUUGUAAUAUCGCAUCAAUGAACGGAAUAUUGAUUUGGAGCUUUUUGAGAAUAUCGAGGAAAUUUUCAUAAUUUAUACCUUGUUUAUUCUUCUUAAGACCUUGUGGAAAGGGAAUGGGAAGCAUGUAAGCUUUGGCUAGACUUGUUGCUUUAGCAGUUGUUGCCUAUGUACUUUCUUCGUUUUCAAUUGCAUUUGGUGCAGAUUUUUCCACCCUUGUAGCUUUAUCAAUCACUUCCUAGUCAUCUUUUCUUUUGGGUCUCUCUGUAGUCAUCUCUGGCGAUUGUACCUCGCUAUUUGUAUUUAUGAAUUGAAUAUUUUGCUCCAUCGACUUCUUUUGAAGUCUUUAGGGAAACGAAAGUGGAGGUACAUAUGCUUUAACUUUCACGGGGGACCUUGGGUGGAUCGUUCUCCACUACUUUAAUUGCCAUCUCCUAUUUCUUAGGAUUUAUCGUUGUAUUGCCUGGAAAUGUCACUAGUGGGCAUUCUGUAUGUUGUCGCGCUAUCUGAUCAAUUUGUGUCUCCAGUUUCUUGAUGGAUGCCUACGGAUUUUGAAAGUUUGUGCCAAUGUGUUAGAACGCCUCGUCAAUCUUUUGCACAUAUUGUUGAAACAUCUUCCCCAAACUUAGCAUUCUUUCUUGUUGAAAAUUGUUCCCAUAUGAGUUGAAAUUACGAGAGGCAUUUUGAAUAAAAUUUACUUGUUCCUCUGAAGAAGCAAGCAUCAAGCAAUUUUUUGUAGCAUGAUUUCUCCUACAAUUCUCACAAGUUGAAUUGGCCAUCACCGCAUUUAUUCCACGUGUUUCCAAUUUUACAAGUAACUCUACCUAUUUUAUUAAAGCUUCUAUCUGUGCAUUGGUAGAUGUUGUACUGUCUAAUUCAUACAUUCUAGAUGCCUUUGGUGGUACCACUCUUUUUGAUGAGAACGUUCAAUGUGUGGUGGCUAUUAACUCAAAUAGGUCCAUGGUUUGUUGCACUAAUUUCCCUAUGAUUGAUCCACCUGCAGAGGCAUCUACUUGAGAUUUUAAUAGUGAUGUAUGUACGAUGUAAAAGUAUUGCACUUGGUUUCCUAUAGUGAUUCCAUGUUUUGGACACUUUCUCAUCAACUUAUUAAAUCUAUUCCAUGACUCUUGAUAGCUCUCUCCAUCUCUUUGUUGAAAAGUUUGAAUAUCCAAUUUGAUUUUAGCUACUUUCGUUGAUGGGAAAAUUUUGUUGCAGAAUUUUCUCGUUAGUUCUUCCCAUGUAGUACUACUCUCAUGAGGCUCCACAUCUAACCACUCCAAUGUAGCAUCUCUCAGUAUAAAUGGGAAUAAUUGCAAUUUAAUAGCAUCUUCAUUAACUCCCGGAGCAUGGAAGUUUUGAUAGUUCAUGAUAAUUCUGGAGAUAUGGGUGUUCGGAUUUUCAUGAGGUAACCCAUAAAAUUGGAGAGUGUUGCUCAUCAAAUUAACCCAAUCUUGCUUGAUCUAAAAAUUAUUCACCACAAAAUCUGGAUACACAAUACUGGAGCGUGCCGGUACUGCUAUAGGUGUUAAGAAUCUUAAGACUGGCAAAUCUCCUUCAUUUAUUUCACCUCGUUCAUGCUACUACUCUUGGGGUGUCUCUAAUCUUGAGGCCACUUGUCCAAUUGGCUGAAUAGGAAUAGGAAUAGGAAUAUGUUGAUUGUCAGCCAUUUGAUGUUGUUUUUGUUUGUAUUCUUUGCGUCUUCGUCGGAAAGUACAUUCUAUCUCUUAAUCAAAUGGCCGAAGAUUGUUGCCUUGGGCACGAAACAUACAACAAACAUAGUAUUAUGUAAAUAAAAAAAAUAAAAAAAUCAAAUAAAAUUUAAGAAUAAAAAUAAAUUAAGAUUAAAAGUAAUAGUCGCCAACAACGGCGUCAAAAACUUGUUGUCGAUUUUAUAUCUAGCAAGUCUAUAAAUCGUAAUGAGUAAUAAGGUGGACCUAAGAGUCCAGAUUGUCGAUCCCACGAAAACUAUACUUUAGCACUUAAUUCAAUUUUCUUUAACAACUAUUUAAUGAAAAUAAACAAAAACGAUGAUCUAUUGUGAUUUCUGAUCUAACUACUUAAAAUAUGAAUGGAUGCAACAAUAAAUGGAUGUUAGGGUGGAACAACUUUACCUAUUGAUCACCUUUACUUCUAAUAUUGAGAUUCAUAAAACCUAAAGUAGUGUUCGAUCGAAUUCUUCUAUUAUAUUCAAUUUACCCCUCUCGAGUUCUCAUUGAGCCUAUUUAACUACAUCAAUUCCAUAUCUCUAUGUGAAUCAAACUUAGUUAAACGCACUAAUAGUUCUAAGAAUUCAUUUAUGAUCGCAGUAAUUAAUAUAGGCAUCUCUACGCAUUAUAUUAAUUUACUGAAUUUUAAUAUGUGGUCUAAACUAGAAUCUACAUCUCUACGUAAUUAUUAUUCACGAAAUCAUUGAAUAAUUUUCUAGAAACUUCAAAGUAUUGAGAACAUGAUUAAAAUCUGCACAUACAAUCAUAAUGAAUAAGAAUCUCAAAUAAAAGAAAUAAAGGGUUACAAAUAGUUACAUUAUUUGCCCAAUUAGAUUUAGUUACUCAUAUUAAUGAAAGAAAAACAAGAAGUUAUUAUGGAAGACAUCAUCGGGUUUUGAAUAAGAAUAUAGAAUAAGAAACCAUUCUUGUACCAAGAUUUUCUUCCUCUUCCAAUCAAUGCGUUAAACCUUCAAUUCCUUGAUGUUUUCUUCCUUUGAAUUCCUCUUUUGAUUUUCUAAUUAUGUUCUCUUGCCUCUCAAUGUGAAAAAUCUCUGAAAAAGUGUGACAAAUUUGUAUUUCACUACAACAAAACUAUGAUUUCGCAAUAAGAUUUUUUGCGACAUACAAAAAGUUGUCACAAUAAGUGACUUAAUGUGACACAUUAUUAAAGUUUGACGCAAAGAUUUUGAUGAAAAAAAUAAGUACCAAAAAAUAUAAGACGACAUAAAAAGUUGUCGUGAAAUGUGAGAAGUUGUGACAAAUAAUAAAGAAUGUCGCCAAAAAUAUGAGGGAAGCAAUGUAAUGGUUGUUGAUCUUGUGCUAAUAUUCAAUGUGAGAUAUUUGAAAUAUUUUCUUUAAGCUGAUAUUUCAUUACCUUCUACAUGUACGUGUUUGACUAAAUUUGUGGUGCUUUUCUUUAUAGGAAUUUUCAUUUAAUCAAAGAACAUAUUGAUGGUGAGUUGGAAGCAUAUCUUGGAGUCAAGAAUGUUUUUGGUUGUCCAGUGAGUUUUUUUUUUUUUUUUGUUAUUUAUUCCACAUUUCUAGUUCUAUUUUCUAAUUUUUCAAGUUUGUUGAAUCAUUCAAAGUAGUUCGACCUUGAAAUCAAUCGUACUAUAGUUUAUCCGUAUAUGUUUUGAUUUUGGAGACAACCAAGUUUGUAGAUAAUACGUUGAUCUAUAUUUAUUUGGUUGACAGUAAUAUGAUUUUUUUUUCUAUUUUGAUAUCAAUUAUAUUUUAUUAAUUGUAUGUUGAAGCAUGCUCUUCAUAAAGUCACAAGUUAUUUCAAGUAAAGUUACAUUUUCAUUUAAAUGUUCACCACAGUAAAGAUUCCAUUACGACGAAAGAAAUUGAAAAUUAUGUGCUUAAAAUAGAGUCUCCGACAUGCAUAAAUAAAAAUAGAUUCAAUUAGGCGACAAUUGUAUAUCGUUGAAGUGACAAACCCUUUGUGUUGCAGGAUAAAUUUAACAACAAGCACAAUUUGACAAAUAAAUAAAAGUUCAUUGUCACAAAAUACUUUACGUAAUAAUAUUAUAUGUUGUAAAAUAAAAUAUGUAACGUAUAUAAAUAAUCAUGAAAUAAAUUAGGCAACAACCAUGCUCAUUGCACAAAUGAUGGCGCAAAGAACUAUUUGUGUUGCGAAAUAAAUUUAAAUAAAAACAUUACUUGUUACAUAAAAUAUUGUAUGACAAAUAUUGAAUAUAAUAAAAUACAUUAUGCGACAUAUCAAAUACAUUGUAAAACAUAUUUCACAACAAACAUUAAUUGUUAUUAAAAAUAUAUUACCACGUGCAUAUGUUGCUGCAAAAUAAAAUAGGUAGCAAGAGUGACACUUUUGAAAGAAUAUUCGCAACAAAUAUUUUUCUCAUAAAAACUUUAUUGGAAUAAUCGUUGCAACAAACUAUCAUGUUGCCCCUUUAUUUUUUUGCAACAUAUACGCAUUGCGAUAACAUUAUAGUUACAAUUAUCGUAUCGCUGUUUCAUAUUUUAUGCGGCAAACAAAUAAUGUUGUGAUUUUGUUAAUGCGAUAAAUGGUCGAAAGUUAUCGCAAAAUAUAUUUGAUGACUCGACAUUUGCAACAAACAUAAUUCUGGUAAAAACUUUAUUGGAAUAUUCGUUGCGACAAACUAACUUGUCACCCUUUAAAUUUUUCGCGACAGACACACACACACACAUAUUGCGACGACAUUACGGCUACAAAUAUCGUUUGCCAUUUCGUAUUUUCUACGCCACACAAAUAGUGUCGUGAUUUGUUAAUGCGAUUAACGGUCAAAAAAUGUCGUAGAAUACAUUCCCUUACUUAUAUAGAGCGACAAUACUUUCAACAAACGUAUUGUCAUCACUAAAUUACUUUUGCAACAAAAUCUCAAUUUUUGCAGCAACUUAUUUCUGUCGCAAAAUCGGUUAUUUUUUGUAGUGUUUAUAGAUGCCUCCUCGUGUAUGUAGAAAGUAGAAUUUUUAUGGACUUUAAAAUGGACCAAAAAUGCACCCUAGACGCACCCAGGCGGCUCCUUGACGCCUUGAAGUGGCGCUGCGACACUCUUAUGUGGCGCCGCCUUUUGGGCAGACAGCAUGUCGUUUAGUAUUUUUUUCAUAACUUUCUCUCCCGAAAUCCAAUUGAGGUGAUUUAAAUUGCGUUGAAAAGCUAACUCAAAGAGCUAUAAUUAUACUCAAGAUGACAUUUUAAAAUUAGAUCAUUUAUUAUGUUAAAAAUGUGUCUAAAUAUGAGUCUAAAAAUGGCUCGUACAUUUUUCGGUUGAAACUUGAUGUGUGAUCAUACUUUGAUUAUGUUUCAUCCCUUUGAUGUACUUUUUUAUCCAGUUGACUCCGAGCACUCUUGAAUCUUCAUCAUGAGGUCCAACACAACUUUUGAGUAUUUGCAUUCCAGUCCCCGAAUUUUGGAUCUCUUACAACUUAGCUCUUUUCUCCAAUUUUGUCAACUUUUACUUAUUUCCUUCAAUUUCUUGUACCGUCAUUGAAUUUUACCUAUUACACACCAAAUGCAAUAAUUUAGAUCAUAGUUUAUUCGAUAAGCAACUAAAUAUCAUCGUUUUAAAGCCUUGAAUAAGUGUAUAAAAUAAACUUAUCACUAACCUAAUUUGUAUGGGAAAGAUUGUCCAAAUUAAUUUCCUUUCCUUUUCAAAAUUGUUAUAUUUUCAAUUAUGACAUGUUUUUGGUGAUAUUCAAUUUCCCAGUUAAUGCUAAAAGAAUAGGUGUUGUCGUGGUUUUGAGUUGAAAUGGGGUUGAUGAUCAAUUCAAGAUUUGGCAUAUGAAUUUCUUGGAAAUGAAAUUCUGUGCCUGGGGGUGUUUGGUAAACAAUAUAAAGAGCAGAUGAAGCUUAAUUUUUUUGUGUUCUGUAGAAGAACAGGUUUUGGUUAAAUAUAUAUUUACUGGGGAAGCUAAAGCUAAAUUUACUUAAAAAUAUUUAUGUGAAAUAAUUCCUAAAAUUUCUUGCACUAUAUUUGGUAGUUUGACAGUGAAGGGGUGGGUAUAAAGAACUGUGACUGCAGGCAUUGAAGUUGGUGUUGGAAUUGGAAUUGGUUCAAAAAUUAACCAAAAAUUGGUUAAGUUUAAAAUUGGCAAAAUGAAAAGGUGUGACUUCGUGUCAACCUUGGUCGAAUGUUCGAACUUGCCUUGAUCAAAAAUUCAUCACUUGCAUCUUUCUUCCUUCAUUUUUUAUUUCUCUUAAUUAAGAUUUGAUUUCAGAAACUGAUUAAUAUUAUUUACAUGUUUGUUCUGCGAGGUUUGAUUCAAAAGAAUAACUUGCUUUCGUUCAAAAAUCGAAAAAGAUGAAUCCAUAUUCAUGCAUUCGGAUUCGGUAACUAUUAUUAUUUUGCUUCUCAAAUUCUACUUUGGUAAGUUGAAUUAUGUUUCGAUUUCAUGCAAAUAAAUGGUAUGCUUUCAUGAAUAUAAUAAGCACAUAAUCGGUGUAUUCCCAAACAAUCUUAAGAUGAAUUUUUUGGUGCGCUUUAUAUUCUAAUUCUUUUAGAAUUUGAAGUUCUAUAUUACGUAAUACAAUUUUACAGUAAGUUAUAUAUGCUCACGUGGCUAAACUUUAGAGUACAAUUUUCCAUGAGAUUGAAUAUAACUGCUCUUCAUUAGAUGUUUGAGAUAGAUUUAUUAACGUGAAUGUUUCAAACAUGAAAUGAUGGAUUCAUUAAUGUGAACAUGUCGUUUGAAUUCUGAAAGAUCAAUUUAUUAAAAAAUGUCUAAUUGUAAUGUUUGUCAUCAUUUUAUACUAUAAGUUGUUUUCUUUGAACUCCCAUUUUGGCCAUGGUUGAAGCCCAUCUUCUAAUACAACUUGUUGCUUCAAUUUAAUUUGUAAUUAAUUACUGGUUCUUUGCAAGUGUCUGUUAAUAUAUAUUUGUAAACUAAUUUGUAAAGUCAGUUUGCAAUUGUGAAUUCAAUCAUGAUGUAACUGCCUCAAUUAAAAGUAGCCAACUAUUAUAUGCCGUCCAUUCAUUUAGAUUAUGAUAUAUGAUUGCAAUUGUUAAUGCAUAGCUGGUGAACGAGUAUGUUUCUUUCCAAGAUGAUUUUUUUUUGAACAAAUGAAUGGGGUUCUAAAAGUAGUUUACUGGAUGGCAACAAAUUAUGGAAAUACGUGGACCUCCUCCAUGAGACAUUUUAUAGAAUAAACAUAUACAAAUGAAUGUACAAAUGUUUGGAAUAUAUGUUGCUAUUCCUACCCUUUGUUCAUGAUGAAUUGGAUAUCGUUAAAAACAACUCGAGUCCAAUAAUGAAUGGAUGGAAAUAAGAAAAUUAUUCCUAACCAUUGGACAUAUAAGGAUGCCAUUAUUUAAUGAACGUAUAUGAACUUUCAUAACGAUUCCUUUGAUUGGAAUAUGAUAAUGGCAUGGUAAAUUAGUUGAAAUUUCAUAUCUUAUUGAAAUUAAACUAACUUUCACUAUGGUGAUAGCCUCAAUUAAUUUCAUAAAAUUAAGUGAGAUGAUUUAAGUGGAUAUCAUUAUUUAGUAAUGAGAAUUAAGCCACUUAAUUAUUUUUGAAAUCGUAGAAAAUUUUGCAUGGGAAGAUGUGUCUUUUCAUACGGAGAAUCAUGACUUUUGGUAUGAUUAAUUUCCAAUGGGUGUGUCUCUUUAUAGAGAUUAAUUCAAGAGGUGUGUCCUUUUAUAGGAUUGUGUCUUUUGAGAACACAACUUUUCAACCGAUGGUUGAAAUGAAACUAUCAUGUGAAAUGUCACAAAUGUGAUAAGUUGCAUAUGUUUGAAGAAGUUGCAAUGUUUAGCCCUCUUUAUUGUUGAAUUUGACUUCAAUCAUGAAACCAAUUAAGUUGGUAUAUGUUUUGAAAGCAUUGCUGAUCUAUAUGAUGGCCUUAAUUUAAUUUGAAUGAUCAAAUUAAAAUAAUUGAAUUAAUGUACGUUAUAUGCAACUUUAAUUGAAAUAAAUUGUGAGUCAGCGACCACUACUUUGAAAGUACUUAGACUUUCAUGAAGCACUCGAUAUGAAUAUUAUCUAAGAGAUAAAUAAAUUGAACUAUGAAAGAGUUGCUAAACUCUAAGCUCAAGUAUAACCCAAGAAUGUGGGGGGGGAGGGGGAGGGGGGUUAAACUUAAUGCUCGUGAACUUGAAUGAAAAGUUUAAAAAUUAUGGAUGCAACGUUACUAGAUUGCAUAUGUAUUCUUAAUUGAGGAAUUGUGGGGGUAACUCAAUUUAACAGUUACAUUUGCUUUUAUCUUAUAAUCAUAGAAAGAUGUCUAUCAAGGUGAAAAGAUAGAAAACCCUUAUACUAAUUAUAAGGAUGAUAUACAAUAAGUCUAAAGUGUAUUAAAUGGGUAGAAGCCAAUUGUGACAGAUGUUUGGACAUGCAAGAACAAUUGGAAUAUGUGAAGAAUAUUCAUAUAGUUCAAAUGCUUGGUAAUGUUUCAAUGAUGAUAUUGAAUACCCAUGAUCCAGAAAUUCACUUAUAAACAUGGUUGACUAGUAAAAUAAUUAGUCAGAAAUCCUUCAAACUUGUUUGGAGUUGAUAAAGUUUUAGAUAAAGCUAAUAAGAAGCAUCUAGCUUCAUGGAAGGAUUUCUUGGUGGUGACAAUUUGUAUCUAUUAAAUGAAAUUGAUCAUUUGCUAGCAAUAAUUGAUAAGAUGCUAAGUCACAUAUAAUGGUAGGUCUAGACGUAUAAGUCAUAGACAUAAUAUCAUUAAGCAGUUGAUCUCAGUAAUGUAAACUCAUUGUACCUUUAAAGAGAUUUAAUAAGAGAGAUCAAGAAUACUGCAUAUCGAAGGGAAUGAGGUAAAGCCUACUACGUUAGAGCCCUUGUAAUGGUAACCCUACAUUGUUGACUGGAGAUCCCAAGAUCUUGGUUCAAAGGGAUAACUAAGUUAUGAGAAUUCUAUGAAGCACUAAGGAAAACAGUUUCCUAACUCAUUCCUAUGACAUUAAAGUGCUUUCUGCAGAGUUGCAAGAGGUUAAGAUAAUCUUUUAAUGAUUCCUAUGUCUUGAUUAAGUCAAGUGGAGUAGGGCAGAAUACUCUUAAUAGGAGGUCACUUAUGUGAGUGUGAAGUGGGGCCUCUUUAAUGAGAAUUAUUCAAGGCUUGAAUUCUUUAAACACUCGUAGAACCAAGAAGGGUUCAGGGCCAAAAUGAACCAAGUCAUGAGAACUAUGAACGAUUUAGGAAAGACAUUUGUGUGAGUAUUGUUGUCUUGGCUUACACUAAAGGCUGAAUGGUUCAAGACAUCACAUUCACCAAUUAGCCAAGUAAGUGAUGGUAUUUCACUACGGAAGGUUCAAGGCCAUAAGCUACUAUCCCCAAUGCAGUGGCUUUCCGCUCUCUCUCUACUUGCAUCACAUCAUAGCAUUACAUUUGCAUACUUGAAUUUUCAUUCAUGUCGGGGAUUGUUUGAAUUUGUUCAAAAAUUAACUGAAAAUUGGUUAAGUUUAAAACUGGGAAAAUGAAAAGAUGUGACUUCGUGUCAACUUUGGUCAAAUGUUCGGACUUGAUCCGAUGGUCAAAUUACAAAAGUAAAUAGACCAACUUAUUCUACUAGUCAAGUAGAUCGUCGUGGUAUAUUUAGAAUCUCGAAAUCAAUUUCGGAUGAAUGAGAAAUUACAGUCCAAAGUUGGAAGAAUGAAGAGUUGCAACUUUUCGAAAUGACGUAGUUUUAAAUUAAUUGUUACAACUUUUCGAAAUGAAGUGUUGUAACUUUCUAUGAAAAAUGCCGGAUUUAGGGUGUAUCCUUUCAUCCACAACCCUUCAUCUUCUAUGUAUAGGACCCCUUGGAUGUGUAUUUGUAAUUCCAAUUCAUUCUAUAAUUCCAUAUUAUUCAUUUUAUGUUAAGUUACAUAAAACACUUUGUAGAAGUGAUUAUCUUUUGCAUCAAAAUCAUUGUUAUAGUAGAGAGGGAAUUUCGUUUAAGUUCGUUGGUUGAAGCCAUUUGGAGUGCUCCUGUGGCUUGACGUGGUCGUUGUAUCUUGGGAGAUGAUUGUUGAAAAACCGUUAGCACCGAUGCGGGGCAAAUUCAUCUUAAGGACCAAGUGUCAAACACUUGUCUCGACAAAAAAUUCAUCACUUACAUUUUUCUUCCUUCAUUAUUUGAUUUCUCUUAAUUAUGAUUUGAUUUCAAAAACUGAUUAACAUUAUUUACAUGUUUGUUUUGCAAGUUUUGAUUCAAAAGAAUAACUUGCUUUCGUUCAAAAAUUGAAAAAGAUGAAUCCAUAUUCAUGCAUUCAGAUUUGGUAACUAUUAUUGUUUUGCUUCUCAAAUUCUAUUUUGGUAAGUCAAAAUUACAUUUUGAUUUCAAGCAAAUAAACGAUAUGCUUUUAUGAAUAUAAUAUGCACAUAAUCGGUGUAGUCCCAAACAGUUGGUGAGUUAUAGAGGCCAAAUUUGGGUUGAAAAGGGCAAUUUUCUUUCUAUUUUCAUCUUUUGCUGUUGAAUUUGCAACAAUGAAGCCCUCUUCUGUUGGUUUAAAUUAGUAGUACCCUGAAGGUAAAGUGUCUUUUCUUCAAGUUAAUUACUCGCUAUUUUAAUGUUGCAUAUCUUACAAAAGAGCUUCCACUACAAUUUCAUUUUGGCCUUUUUUGGGCGAGGCCAGAAUGUAUGUAAAAUUGCAUAUUCUUGACAAGUUAAAGGUAACAAUGAACAAUAUCAACCUCUUUAUACAUAAUUGUAAUAUGAUUAUAAUAAGCAAUGUAGAAUCCUCUUGAUGGGAGCUUAGUAUUAUACCAAUUGUGAAGGAAGAGAUAAUGAAAAUUUUAAUUUCAUGGCUUGGAGGGAGGCUUCAAUGGGGUAGUUGGAUGACAAAAAAUAAGCUUUUAUAUCAAGAUACUCAUAUCCCUCUUUUUGCUGUGAGUUUUUCUAUCUUGAACGAGACUUUAUUAUAAUUCUUAGGAUUGAAAUGUUUUAUUUCAAGAUUCCCUAUAUAUGUCUCUUGUACAUGUUAUCAGAGUUAUUGAUUUUUUUGCCAUUAAUGCUCCUUUUCAUUUUUGCUUUGUAAUUUCAACAUUCACACCAAAAAAAUUUAUUCUUCAAACUAAUACCAUUUUGGGAGGAUAUAAUAGUACAAGAAUUUUUAUAAUUUUUUUUUGAUUUUCAGGUGAUAAGAAUUGCCUAAAUUCUAAACUUUGGCAUGCCUAUGCUGCUCCUCUUGUUUCUCUACCUGUUGUUGGGGGCCAAGUAGUGUAUCUUCCGCAGGGUCAUAGUGAAUAGGUUUGUUUCUGGGCCUUUUAUUUUGAUAAGUUACAGUUUUCUCAAGGUCAAAUGUUUGUUAAGCUUGGUACAUUUACUAUUAAUUUGUUUUUGUUCAGGAUGUUUGACUUGUGCUCUUUAUGGCAGUGGUGUCUUAAAAAAAAGAUCAUGUUUAGAUCAUGAUUUCUCAGUAUUUUGGUGACUUUAAUAUUUGUUGACAGGUUGUCCUGAACUGACCAACCCAACCUGACUAAUAUUUGGUUAGGUUGGGUUUCCAUUCUUCCAUGGGUUGGGUUGGGUUGAAUUUCAAUCAAAUCGACCAUUUUGGGGACUAAAAACAAUCCAACCCAACCUCCAACCCAACUCCCACCCUUGAGUGAUAAGGUCUAAAGAAUAGGCUAAGCCUUUUUGUAUUGUUGAAAACAAAUUUAGGCAUUCAAUUUAUGUUAGGCCAACCAAUGGAUACAAUGAUGUAAAUAAAGAUCAUGAAAUGGGUUAGAAUGAUGAUGAAAUAGAAUUCUGAAUUGCAAAUAAUAUUUAUCAACUAUUAAAACUAAAAAAAUAAAAUAAAUUUAGAGCAUGUUUUGUCUUUUUUAGUUUAUUGAAACAUAUGAAUUAAAAAUCAUAAAGGGUUUAAGAUCUAUUUUGAUAGGAAGGAAGCUUUGUCAAAAAAGGAUUUGACUGAAAAAGUUAAAAUAUAGUUCGUCUCAAUCUGUUAUAUGUUAUAAUCAAAGCUUUUGGAGAUCCUAAUUACUAGUUUGAUGGUUCGAAUUUGAUGAGUUCAAUUAAAGAGCAAGAUUGGGAAGAUUGGUUGACAUUAGACCCAUCAAGUGGCUCUUCAACAAUAAUUUCGAGAUGAAGCCUAAUUAAAACUUAAUUAAUAAAAUAUAAUAUGAUGUUAUGCACAUCAUAACAAGUUGAAUCCUCACAUUCAAGAAACUGAUAAAGAAUUCUAUAAUAAUGUAUGUAAUCAUCAUUCAAGCAUAAUACAUUUACGACUUUUGUCACAAAAAAAAGAAAGACCCAGGGCCCGUUUUAGAUUGUUUUUCGGAAGUCAAAAUGAGCUUUUGAAAUUCAAUCACUGCCUUUGAACCCAUUUAGUUAAUUUUAUUAACAUAGUUGGAGGAUAAUCCUUAAAAUAAGGACUUUCAAUUUUAGUCAUUAUCUUGAUUUUUUCUAUUUUUGGAAAUAAAUCUAUUUUAAGUUUUUUAUUUUUUCAAAUUUUCCUAGGGUUUUCCUAUAUAAAGCAUUGUAAGCCCCCGCAUUGAUUGUCAGAAAUAAAAUUUUCUUUGAUUUUUUCAUCCUGUGAGAUUCGUUCAUCUUUCUAGGCUCGUUCCUUUGCCAUGGCGUCAGGGAGAUGUCCAGAUACGUAAAGUCCUGACAGAGGAGGUGAACAAACAUGAUGAUGUUUCAAAACUACGUUAACAAGUGGAGUUUUCGACCGAGCAAAUUGCUGCACUCAUGCCACAGCAAUAAGAGCUUGUGGGUCAAUCGCCUAAGGAUUCUGAAGAUGAAAAUUUGUUUGUGCAACUUGAUCAUCUCAUAGAUCUGCUAGUUCGACAGAGAAGAGGUGGCCAAAAGGAGAAUAGGCACUAGGAAUCAAGGUUUAAGUUGAUAUCCCUGAGUCCCAUGGUGUAUUAAGUCUAGAAAAAUUCUACUAGUAAAUGUGUGCCUCUUGGUGCAACGAGAUUUUGUGAACAAGCAGCGGUGUGGUGACAGCAGACAAAGAUAACGAGGUCCAAAUUAGGGAAGGAAAAGAUUACAUCUUGGGAUCGAUUAAAGAAGCACAUAAAAAAGCAAUUUCUGUCCUAUAAUUAUGUUCGGACCAUGUAUUAGGGAUUGCAGGAUUUGCAUUAAAGCUUGAAGAUGAUUGAUGACUAUACGAUGGAGUUUUACAUGCUGAUUAUCAAAAACGAGGUGAUGGUGACGAAGGAACAGUUGGUGUUGCAACAUGUGGGUGGUCUUUGUUCCCAAAUAUAGGAUGCCUUAAAUAUGUUUGAUCCUGUGACAGUUUCUGAAGCGCAUCAACGGGCGAUACAAAUAGAGAAGCUGCAGUCCAGGCAAAAUAUAGGUCCUUUCACUGCAACGGAUUCUUCAAGUAAACCACAGCAGCAGACAACAAGUCUUGGUAAUCCUAGCCAGGCUAGUUCUUUUAGAGCAAAUCCUGUUCAAUAGUGAACACAUCUUGGAAGUGGUAUUCAUUGCUUCUCUAGCGGAGGUAUGGGUUAUAGACAAUCUGAAUGUUUCAAAAUUAACACAAAGGACUCUUUGUUGAUGAGGUGUAUGGAGAUUAUGAGGAGGCACUUGUAUUUGACAAUGGAGACGUUGAAGUAGCAACAGAGGAUAAGGAAUUUGUUGUUGGUGAUGUGGGCCAAGUGUUCGUGGUAAGAUGGAGCUUUUUUUUUUUUACUCUCUUGAAAGGCAAGAGUGACUGGUUGCGUAAUAAUAUCUUUGAGUUUACGUGUACAUUUGGGAGAAGUAUCUACAAGUCUGUUAUUGAUUUUGAGAGUUGCGAGAAUGUAGUGGCUAAAGAGGUCGUUAAGAAAUUAGGUUUGUAGACUGAGAAACAUCACAAACCAGAAAUGUGUUAAAACUGAUAAAUGAAUAUAAAAUGCAGUGAUUCUCAAGCAAUCACUUUCGUUCUAUUGAAACCCUCUAUACAUUUAUGGUGAUUCUUUAUUUGAUGCUGAUGUGGUGCAAAAGGAAUUAGACAUUAUGAAAAAGUGGGAUUGAUGCCGGUAGGAAUAGGUAACUUUCCGAUUUUUGGCGAAAUUUUGGGGAUGUUCAUUUUUGGUGAAAUUUUAGUCAAAUUAAAUUGAAAACGGGCUAAUGAACAAUGCUUAGUGACUUUCUUCCUACAUGAGCCUAAUUUCGGGCAAAUUCAUUCACUUAGGCCCUUGUUUAUGCUUUUUUUGCUCUCCAUCAAUUUAAGUUGCAUUUGAAUUCCGUUUAUUGAAGGAUAAUUCUUAAGAUUAGUAUUUCCAAUUAUUAUUAUUAUUAUUAUUAUUUGUUAUUUGUUAUUUUUUUGAAUUUUCCUAGGGUUUUUCUAUAUAAAACAUUGUAAGCCCUUUGUUGCCGCAUUUAGUGAUGAAAAUAAAAAAAUUUCAUGAGAUUCGUUCGUCUUUUCUAUAACUUUCUGCUAUGCCACCUUCCAUAGUGACACGUAUCUCAACAUCCUUUUCAUGUUGAUACCAUCAUUCUUCUUUAAACAAUAUUUGCACUCCAUUUUCCAAUUUCUCCAUUGUCUUUUCCAAAAUUUCUUUUCAAUACUUUUAUAGCCUCAACAUAUAUCUCAAAUCUCACUCUUUCUCACACCUUUACUCUCUCUCUCUCUACUCCCAUAAACAACCUACUUGCCCUCCUCCAACAAUAUCUGGUGGAGUGAUGAAACUAGAUUGAUCGAGUUUAAUAUCCGACCCAUUUAUCUCCAAAGGACUCUCACUAAGCCGAGGAAGAUAGUGCAGCAUCAAAAAAUAAGGUAAAAUCUUCCUCGUACUUGAUCAUAAAUGAAUAUAGAAUGCUAUGAUUCUCAUGCAUCCUCUUUCGUUUUUUUGAAACCCUCUACAUUGUUUUGGUGAUUCUUGAUUUGAUGUUAAUGUGGUGCAAAAGGAUUUAGACUUUAUGAAAUGGUGCGACCAGUGCCGGUAGAAAUAGUCAACUUCCCAAUUUUUGAAAAAAAAUUGGUAUUGUAUGUUUUUGGCGAAUUUUUAAUCAAACUUGAUCGGAAACGGGCCAUGAACAAGACACAGCUGCUUUGCUCAUGAUGUAGGACCAAUUUUGGGCAAAUUUCUUUAUUUAGGCCUUCGUUAAUGCAUUUUUCCCCUUCUUUGGUAAAUUAUGUUUUGGUUAUGUGUCCAUUAAUUUACGUAGGAUUUGAAUUCCAUUUGUUGGAUGAUAAUAUUUAAGAUUAUAACUUUCAAAUUUUAGUCAUUAUCUCGAUUUUUUCCCAAAGAAAUCUUUUUUUUUUCCCGAAUUUUCCUAGGAUAUUCCUAUUUAAAGCUUUGUAAGCCCUUUUGGCCAUAUUUAUUGAUGGAAAUAAAUUAUUUUCGUGAGUUUUUUUCAUCUUGUGAGAUUCGUUCAUCUGGUCUAUGACCUUCUGCUACGCCACCUUCCACAGUGACACAUAUCUCAACAUCCUUUUCACGUUGAUACCAUCAUUUUUGUUUAAACAAUAUUUGCACUCCACUUUCCAAUUUCUCCAUUGUCUUUCCCAAAAGUUCUUUUCAAUACUUCUACAUCCUCAAUAUAUAGGGAUGUCAACGAUUCGAGUUGAUUCGCGAGCCGAAAUUCUAGGCUAGGGCUCGGCUCGAGUAAAUUGUCCAAGCUUUUUUGGGGCUCGAGCCGGGUCGAGCCAAGCAAAAGCUCGGCAAAAAAACUAUGCUCGACCCGAACCGACCCGGCUCGAAUUUUUUGCAGGCAACCUACUGCCUUAAAUGGCAGCAACUAACAUUUUAGUUGCUACCUAUUUUUAGCAGCAAAACACUGCCUUUUAUUUAUUUUUGUUUUUUUAAAUAUAUGCUUGGUUCUCCCAAGCCGGCGAGCCACAGGGGUGGACUCGGGUUUUGCUCGGCACCUAAAAAUGGGGCUCGGCCCGAGCCUCAAGUUGGACAAGCUCGAGCUUUUUCUGAGCCAUGCCACGGGCUACCUGAGCCGAUGAGCCAGAUUGUCAUCCCUAUCAACGUAUAUCUCAAAUCUCUCUCUCUCUCUGCUCCCAUGAACAACCCACUUGCUUUCCUCUAACAAUAUCUAGUGGAGGGUGACGAAAUCGAGUGGAUCGGGUUUAAUAUUCACCCCAUUUAUCUCCAAAGGGCUUCCAUUAAGCUUAGGAAGAUAUUGCAGCUUUAAAAAACAAGGUAAAAUCUUCCUUGUACUUGAAACUAAUAAAUGAAUAGAGAAUGCUUUGAUUCUCAUGCGUUCUCUUUCGUUCUGUUGAAACCCUCUACAUAAUUUUAGCGAUUCUUGAUUUGAUGUUGAUGUGCUGCAAAAUGAAUUAGACUUUGUGGAAAGGUGUGACCAACACAGGCAAAAAUAGGGAACUUCCCAAUUUUUGGAAAAAUUCUAGGAUUGUACAUUUCUGGGGAAAUUUUAGGCAAAUUUGAUCAUAAACGAGCCAUGAACUCUUCACAGCAACUUUGUUCCUUAUGUAGGCCCAAUUUCGGACAAAUUCCUUCAUUUUGGCCUUCGUUUAUGCAUUUUUUCAUUUUUGGUAAAUUUCAUUUUUGCUAUAUCUCCAUCAAUUUAAGUCAGAUUUGAAUUUCGUUUAUUGGAGGAUAAUCCUUAAGAUUAGGAUUUUAAAUUUUAGUCAUUAUCUCGAUUUUUUCCAAAAAAUCUUUUUUUUUUCUUGAAUUUUCCUAGGGUCUUCCUAUAUAAAGUAUUGUAAGCCCUUUGUGGCCGCAUUGAUUGACAAAAAUAAAAUUAGUUCGUUAGUUUUUUUCAUAUUGUGAGAUUCGUUCAUCUUUCCUACAACAUUCCGCUACAUCAGAAGGAGAGGCAGCGGUUAUGAGAGAGAAAGUGGAAUGACGGUAGCUGUGGUGGUGGCGUGGCCUCGAAUUGUUGGCGAAGUGGAGAAAGUGCAAACCUUGCUGUUGUUGGUACGAUGACUGCAGCAAUGGUGAAGAGGAAAGAGAGAGAUAAGAUGAUGUUUUUUUAACCUUUGUUUGAGUAAAUUUUUUGGGAAAAUAAAUUUCGUAAUAAUAAAUUAUAAAAAUAUACGUUUAAAAUCGAAAAAGGACUCUUAAUGCAUUAUUUGAUUGAAACUUCUACAAGGAGAAAGAAUAGAAUAAAUAUGAUAAUUUUACAUUAAAAAAAAAACUGUAAUAAAUUUUGAGUUCUAUUUAUUUUCCAAUUUAAUUCUUUUGAUUACAUAGCCUGAUUCAAUGUGUCUUAUUAAUAGGUUGUGUUAUUAUGAUUAUUAAAAUUUCAAUGAAAUAUCAAUAUACUUUGUCGGAGUGGAUCUACCCACUAAACUUAAGCCCAUGUUGCACAAAUCCAUGAACACACAAUACACACAUUAUCAACUCCAUCAGCACCUGAAAUUCACUUUAUACCCAUUAACAAGCACAUCUACACACAUAUAUCUUUUAUCAUAUGAUCGAUAGGGACCUUUCGAGCACAUUUAAGGCAUCCCAUUUGCACAGUACUAAUCCUACAGUCACUUUUGACCUAUAAAACAAACACGUCUGCACAUGUAACGAAAUGCAGAACACUAUGCAAUUUCCAGAACUAAAUUGAGGAUGCAAGUUUCAAUUCCUUUCGUUCGUUUUGAUUAUUUCUGCUAAAUCCCGAAUCGAGAUGACAUGAUUCUUUUUGCCUUACACACAUGGACACGUUCGGUUAAAUUCUAUGUGGUAUUAUGUAAUUGACAUCUAUGAUAUCAUUUCAAAUAAAUGAUAGAUGUUAUUUACAUGAAGAAAAUCAAUUUUGAUUUUAAGAGAAUCUAUUUGAUAUUCUUAACUUGAUUGCAAUCAAGAACUCAAGGGCUACAUGUUGAGCAAUGAAGUCAAACUGAACCCAAUUUCUAAUCACAAUGGUGUGCUCCGGUUAAAAAAAAAAAAAAAAAAAAAAAAAAAAAAGUCGAAAAUUACUAUCAUUUGUCCUUUCAUUCGAUUUAUGUCUAAAAAAAGUGACAAAUUCUGCCAUAGCUAAAUUUAUUGACAAGUCAUCUUAUUUCAUAUUCUAAAGGCAAGAGAUGCUGCUCGCAACAAUCACAAAUGUCUCUGUUUUGGGCUCCAUUUUUUCAAAAUACAAUUUUCGGAACUCAUUUUUGAUCAUACAUUUUUUCAUAAAAUAAUAUUACCCGUAAACUCAAAACUUUUCAUUCAUUUUUAGUCAUACAUUCUUUAAAAAAUUACUAUUCCAAGAUACAUCCUUUUUCAUUACCCCAAUUUAAUGGAGAUGGACUAUAUUUUAAAGUUUUUUGGAAUAAUUAUUAAUGCUGUUUUCCAAGUAAGAUUGAUCUAGCAUCUCAUUGAGCCAACAUUGGUUUCCACAUAGGCUAAACUCUGAAAAAUUCUAACGAUUGAGAUAGCAUACAUUAUUAAUUCAAUUAAUUACUAGAACUAUUCAAAUUAUAUGUCCAUGGCUUGUCUUUUUGGUCCAAAUUCAUGUGGCCCACAACUUACCAAUUUUCCUCUCUCUCUCUCUCUCUCCAUCAUUAAUUCUUGUUGUGUUUUAAAAGAAAUGUCUGCAUUAAUUAAUUUAGUUUUGAAACACCAGUAAAUUUAGUCAAGCUUUGUGCUUGAUUAGUUUGACACUGUUGUCUUUUGUUUCUCUUAUUUCACAAUUCCAGUAAGAAAAACAAAAUGACUUGAAAAAAAAAAAAAUGACAUCUGAGUUUUUGGUGUCUGUUUAGUCUCAUUUAUGUGUCCUUUCAUUUAAAAAUAUAAGUGUAACCUACAAACAGAAUUAUAUUUCAAUUAGUUUGGUACUUUUCUUAAUCCUUCCAUAAUAUCGACAAAAAUAUUUAUAUUUAAAAUAAAGUCCUCAUUGCCAUUAUAAGCUCAGCUGGCUAAAGCUACUAAGAAUGAUAGUUACAUUUAAUCGACCUAUCAUAUAAACUUGACAAUCACAAAACUCAUAGACAUUUUCUAUUCCCUUCUCUGAUAUAUAUGGGGCAAUUUAAAGUUCAACCCAAUGACCCAUUUUUUUUUAUUUUAUCACAAAUAACAAUGCAUAAUAUUUGACUUGGACACAAACAAGUGCACAACAUGUGACGAAUCACUCCCUAGUCAUAUCUAUGGUAUUACUUUCCCAGACAAAACUAAUUGCAUAAGAUUUUGCUAAUAUUUCCAUCUCGAAACUUGUUGUGCCUCAAGAACCUGUUUCUAUAAUUAUUUAAUUUUAAAGUCGGAUAUUUGAGUAGAAAACAUGUUUUAAAAUUAAACCAUUUUUUGUGUUCUAAUUUUAAAUAAAAAAUAAGGAGAGAUGGGCUACAAGAAAUUAUUAGGGACAGAAUUGAAUGAAAAGUUCAAAAUACUAUUGGGACUUGAACUUAGUGGGAAAAUGUUGAUUUCAUCACCAAAUGUUGGAAAAGGUAAAAGUGAAAAGUUUGGCACUUUUACCCCUACUGACCAACCAACUUUGUGGACAUCUUAUGGAAAGUGCAUAAAGUGAACAUAUUUUUGGUACCUAACAAACGCAUAUCAAAAUGGGACCUGAAAAACGAGUUACCGGGAUUUUUUGAGCCUUUCUAAUAAUAAGUUUUCAAGAAGCCAUAUCCUGGAUGGUUGUUUGAUCGUUGUGGCUAUCCAUUUUGAUGUGAUUCCUAAUAGUUAUAAUGCUCGUAAUGAGCUCUUAAAUUAUAUAUAAAGGGUGACGUAUAAUAGCCAUACAUAUUUCACGAAUACUUAAGCGAAAAUAGGAACCCAAAACUAAUAAAUCUACAAACUUUAGGAAUUUUAAAUUCCCUUAGUGGGAAAAAAGACUUAGGGUUGUGAACAUGCCUACUCCUUGUUUUAUUAUCUGGUCCCUAGUUGAGCUCUUGUUAUUUUACUCAAGCGUAAAAUAAACUUUAAUAACUAGAUCUAUACAAAUGUAUACGCAUGCAUAUGUAGGAAUGUGUAGAUAUGUGAUAUUAUAAAUUUAAAGUGUCUAAAGUGAUAAACAAAUAUGUACGUAAAAGUAUAUGUAUGUUUAUAAGAAUUGCUUGAGUCUACAUGUGACAACAAUGAUUUUUCGUGCAAGUGUUAAGAGUUGUUGGACAAACUUUUCAAUGAUAAAUAAAACAAGAGCAUUACAUUCAAAAUUGAUAAAUUAAAUAACCGUAUAAUAUAUUUGAGAUUGACUUGUUAAUUAUUGUUGUUAUGAUCUCCUCUCCUACAAUUAAUUUUUUAAACCAAACUCUAGCUCUUUCUAAAUGGGGAUAGUUUGGAAUGAAACCCUAAGAGUGGCUUCUCCUUAGGCUACUUUGAUUGGGAAGACUUUUAAUGGGAAUGAACUAUUCAAUAAUUAGAUAUUAUUUUUUGAAUUUAAGAUCACUCUUGCCUUGUGUGUUGGAUUUUUGAUACCCAAUAAAUCCCGGGCUAUAAUGUUAACGUGGGUUAAUAUUAUUUCAUAGACAUAGGCUGAUGAAUGAAAUAAGUCCAACAACCAAGUCCAUGAGCUAUACCCGGUCCAAUUGUAUUCCUUAUGGAUGGCUUGAAUCUUAGCCCGUUUACCUCUUUAAUGGCCCAACUUAAAGCCUAACCCUAGAGUAUAUAUAUGGAUAUAACCCUAGCCUCUUUCUAAUGAUGAUUGUGUGAUUUUGUGAGAAAAAGGAGAAUCCCGGAUGCCCUCUUGGUAAGUGAAAAAUAGCCCCUAGAAGUGUCCAAAACACCUGUUUACUUUAUGUAAUUGUUGGUUCCUUCAUAGUAUACCUUUGUGGUAUCUUCUCCUAGCCUUUGUGAUCACAAAUCAUCAUCCUUUCUUGUCCUACGUGGGUAAGAUUGAAUAGCAACCGAGGCGAAUUAUAUUGGUUGUGGUUUGGAGUUGGUUGGAUUGGUUGUUGGUAGAGAAAGAUACGUUGGACUGAGCUUGAAAAACUACCGUUUGAAGAUCCUUUUGCGAGAGCUUUCGCAACAAUUGGUAUUAGAGCUUCAAGGUGAAGGUUUUGGCUCGUGAAAUCUACUAGAAAUCGUCCAGAAAAUCGGCAGAAACAUAGCAGAAAUCAAAUCGAAAAACUGUCCAGAAAACAGUAAAAAAUUAGCCAUGUUUUGGUGUUUUCUGACCAAUCCAGAAGGAGUUUGGGAAAACAGAGACUACUGGUGUAACGUGCAGGUGGUGGCGAUCAAGGCAGACAGGCGCGUGUAUAAGAUGACGGCGCGUAGUGGAGGCGCAUGCGGACACGCGUAGAGAGGAAGAGUAGCGCGUGAGGGCGCGUGGGAGGGAAUUUCGAGAGGGUCCCUUAGGCAAUUUGUUCCUCAUAUUAUUUUCGACAUUUUUCGUGUUGGAAGUUUUCUGUUUCAGGGUACGCAGCAGAAUAUGGACAGCGUUGUUCUUCCGGCGUUCGAGACUUGAUCGUGUUUUUUUCUUUUGUUGCUAUAGUUUCCAGAGACUUUAGGAUGAAUAGUAGUAAUCCUAAAGUGGUGAAUUCUCAUGUCUCAAUAUUUACGGACCUUCAGACGUGGUCCGCUCGGUAUCGUGUUCUUUGCUUUUUAUUAUUGCAGUUAAAAUUAAUGUAUAGGUUAAUUAUUUAUUUUUCGCAUUAGAAGUCACCGUAUGGGGUGACGUUAGGUUUGGGGUAACCAUUUCUUGUUGCUAGACCUAGAAAUUACAUGUUAAUUAUCUUAAAUUCUAUGUGCAUUUGUCACUAAUAUUUCUACACCGAUAGAAUUGCAUGUGACCUAAGGAAAAUUUACUUGACUAUUCCGUGUGAAUUAUGUGUCAAUACUUUGCUUGUGGUCAUUACUUGGUAUUGUUGGCAUGUAUAGGUCUAAGACAAAUAUGAAAAAUAAAAUAUGUUUUAACUAUGGUAAAAUUUAGACAUAGUUGAAAGAGAUGUCCUAGGAUGAUAAUAAAAUGAAAGAUGAGGAUAGAGACAAAGCGAAUGUGACUUUAGGGUCGAAUAGUGAUCCUAGUGAUGUUUAUUGAGAGAAUAAACAUGGUUACUGCAUUGCAUCUGUGUAUAAUCCUUUCUGCAUGUAUGUGGUCACUUAAUUCUGUUGCAAUGUUGAUUUUACACUUUCAAUAUAUUUUAUGUGUGUAAUUGCAUGAAUUAGAGUGACUUAUUACUUUGUGUAAUAUGUUUACAUGUAUAGUGGGUUAAAUUUUGUGACGUACUCUAUUUGCUCUGUGAGUGGUGUAAGAGUGUGGUAGUGAGAAGAAAGUUGGGCAGCCGUUUCUCUCCUUCAUCUUUGUGAGCCUGUAAGGUUUGUGAGAUUAUGUGAGGCAGCCAUGUUAAGGUUACCUUCUUUAUCUUUGUGAGCCUUUUUUGUGAGUGCUGUGAAGUAAUCGACUCUUUCUUCAAUUUUUCUUUGUGAGUGCCAACUUCACCGUUUUCUUUGUUGUGGUCACAGAAAGGUGUUAAUUUGCCAUAGUGAGUUCGAGAUGCAUUAACAGUGUGUCGUGUGUCUUUUGGUAAGGUGGAGUAUAUAUUCCUAGGGGUACAUGGUGGUUUAUACCGGGGAUGUGGAGUGUGACAUUUGGAUCACGAGUGGAGAUGUGAUCAAAUGUCUAGAAUCCUUUAUUUGGAAAGAGACUCUGAUCAGGUAGAGUGUGAGGGAGGCACUUCUAUCACUUCUGUUAGGUGGAGACCCAUUAUCCACGUAGGUUGGGAGAAGUGAUGUGGAGAUAGAGGAUUAUCCCGUGGACUUAGGAUCUAUUGUGACUUGCUAGUUAGACAUGAGUUGAGUGAUCUGUCUAGUGAGCUUGGUGGGUGAUGAGAUGAGAUAUGUGAUCUCAAGGUGUGAGCAACACGGAAUGGGAUAUGAUAAGUGUGGUGAGCUCUUUUUUGGGGUCAUUUAUGCAUGUGUUGCAUAUGUGGUUGACCGUGGUUUGAUUGACUUGGUAUUAAUCUAUGGUCUAUGUGAACGUGUUUCUAAAAAGAUCUGUGUGUGUUAUCCUAUAGUAUAUCAUCAUCGCAUGUGUAUUUGCACUUGAUUGUUUACUGUUAAAUAUUUGCUUCUACUUGGAUGUUUUUGACCUUAGCCCCAGUGAGUACAUGGAGCAAGUAUGGUAUGUGUUUCAAGUUGGAAACACGAGGUAAGGUCUGUGAUCCAAUUUUAUUGGCCACCUUGAUUAUGCAAGUGCUAACUGUGUGUUUUGAUUGCUUGCAGAUUUAUUAUGCAUCAAGGUGGAGAUUUGUUGGGUUUUUGAUACCCAAUAAAUUUCGGGCUAUGAUGUUAACGUGGGUUAAUAUUAUUUCAUAGGCAUAGGCUGAUGAAUGAAAUAAGUCAAAUAACCAAGUCCAUGAGCUAUACCCAGUCCAAUUGUAUUCCUUAUGGAUGACUUGAAUCUUGGCCCGUUUACCUCUUUAAUGGCCCAACUUAAAGCCUAACCCUAGAGUAUAUAUAUGGAUAUAACCCUAGCCUCUUUCUUGUGAUGUUUUAUGAGACUUUGUGUGAGAAAAAGGAGAAUCCCGACUGCCGUCUUGGUGAGUGAAAAAACAGCCCCUAGAAGUGUCCAAAACACCUGUUUACUUUGUAUAAUUGGUGGUUCCUUCAUAGUAUACCUUUGUGGUGUCUUCUCCUAGUCUUUGUGGCCACAAAUCGUCAUCCUUUCUUGUCCUAUGUGGGUAAGAUUGAAUAGCAACCGAGGUGAAUUAUAUUGGUUGUGGUUUGGAGCUGGUUGGAUUGGUUGUUGGUAAAGAAAGGCACGUUGGACUGAGCCUUGAAAACCACCGUUUGAAGAUCCUUUUAAGAAAGCUUCCACAAUAUUGUGCACAUUGCACCAUCACCUACUGAUGUAUGAAAAGAUUAUGGCUUGAUGUACUCAUAUUUUGUGAAUAAAUAUAUUUUUGAUGUUUAGCUUAAUCUUUUUAUCUUUGAAAAUGGAUCAACGAAUCUAAAGGAAAUGUCACAUAAAUAAAUAAUAACUUAACUAAAGUCUUAACUAAACAAUUUGUUGGUUUGAAAAUAUAUGCAAUGUUUAAAAUGGAAAAGGACUUCUAAUGCAUUUUUGAUUGAAACUCCUACAAGUAGAAAUAAUAAAUAUGACAAUUUUUAUAUGAAAAAAGAAAAUGCAAUAAAUUUUGAUAACUAUUUAUGCUUCCUUUAAUUACGGCUUUCACAUGGCCUGCUUCUAAAUAUCUUAAUAAAAUUUUGAAAUAUUAAUGAAAAUCAAUAUUUUGAGAAUUAGAGUGUAUAUAUAUAUAUAUACACGGUUAGAAUAUGCUAAUGCAUAAGCUGCAAAUGGGAAAACGAAUCAUGUGCCUCAAAGGUAUUGUAUGUUUUAUUGGAUUUUGUGUAGGGUGAAAUUGCAAGAUAAGAAGGAAGUCUUGGAAAUAUAUAUAUGAUAAAUUUUUUAAGCAUAAAUGUCUCAAGUGUUCAAUUAUUUAUUGUCAUCUAUCAAAUAAAGAAAAAAAGAAAAAGAAAAAAGAGGAAAUCCUAGAAAUAUAAGUGUGACAAAUUCGCUACUCCCUUCUUUGAAAUAUAUGAAUUUUCGAACUCAAAUAACAUGGCGCAUUCGACUUGGACAAUAAUAGGUGCACCACAUCUGAUGAUUCGCUAUCCAGUCAUAUCUGGGCCAGCCUUUCCCAGGCAAAACUAAUAACAUAUAAUAUUCCUAAUAUUUUGAUCUCGAGUUGUUAUAUCUCGGAAACGGAAACUUUUGUUUCCAUUUUUAUUUAAUUUUAAAAUUGAAUAUUUGAGUAGGCAACGUGUUUUAAAAUUAACCAUCUUAUGUCUUGAAAGUCGGGUUAUUUGUGAUUUUUCGAUUAAAAAAUAAGAAGAGAUUGGGCUCAAAGAAAUGAUUAGGGACUGAAUUGAGUGAAAGUGAAAAGUUCUAAACGUUGUCGGGACUUGUUGGAAAAAGUUAAUAUUUUGAAGAUAAAAGUUAGGCAUUUUUACCCAAUUUCGUGGACGUCCCAUGAAAAUUGCAGAACGAGACCUCCAUUCUGGUACCCAAUUUUUAUGUUUGUUUUUAAAUUUUAAUUUUUUUUUUCAUUAUUACAUUAUUUCUUAUUCAUUUAUUUUAAUGCCUCAAGGCGGUACAUUUAGAAAUUGAUUUGUUGAUUGUUAAUAAAUUUAAAAUGGAGCACAAUAGCACAUUAACAUUCUUAAAUUAAGAAACAUACGUUUUUAUUUACUGGAAUAAUAAAGUGAAUUUAUCUGUUUCGUUUGAUUAAAUAAGUAAGUUAUUUAUUUAAAUUUCAAAUUAAUGAAACAAUUGCUUAAAAUCUAUUCAGACAUCAAGUCAUGUAGCAUGUAGAUUUUUAAUUUUUAGUUUAAAAAAAAAAAGAAAAAGAAAUUUGGAGUUUAGAGGAGCCCCAUUCAAAUAUAACAUUAUGAUACAUGUUCAAGUUUUUCGAUUUUAAUAAAAGAACUAUAAAUAUAAAAUAAUAAUAAUAAUAAUAAUAAUAAUAAUAAUAAUAAUAAUAAUAAAAUUAUACCGUUUAAAAUUAAACUUUGGCUUGCUUAAUAAGGUUCUCCAAAAUGUAAGUAGACCAUGUUUGGCUAAGCUUAAAGAAAUAGAAGUUAUAUUUUUCUAAACAUAUGGUUAAAACACGUUAAUUUGAGUCUGUUCACCUAAGACAAGUAGCAUUCAACAUGUAUUGGGCUGAUGGAAAUAUGCAUCCAUAGCAAUGAAAUGCUAUUGAGACAAGUAUGUUCAGAGACGUAGUCAGGACUUGAUGACAAAAAAUUAACCUACGUUAAUAUGUAAAAAAUAUCAAAUGAGAAACCUAGAUAGUCUCCAUUUAUUGACACGUUAAAAGUGUAGCCCAACUCGAAUAGCCCAAAGAAGAAAGCCCAACUGGACAAUUCAGGAUAAAGGCUCAAAUAGGGUUAUUAAUGAAUGCAGUGGAAGCCCACGAACGCAGUAAUACCAUCGCCCAAACUUGCAAGACGCCCAAGACCUGAGCGAAUGAAGUACCUUGCAGUCGCCCAGAGUUAUAACCCUGUUCUCGCCCAAACUUUCGAAUCGCCCAAGAUCUUAACAAACAUAAGAUAUUAUGGUUAUCCAAAAGUGCAGUUAUCGAAACAGUUAUUGGGUAAUCUCAUCACGUUCCACGAUUCAGGAAGUUCAAUUGAAGACGGUUGAACGACAAAGAGUAGUGGCAGCAUUUAGAGACGACAGUUCCACGAAUAGUUGGCCACCAUGAAAAAAGUGGGUAGUUAUAAAGCAAUUAAGCAGUUUCUAAGCGGUUAAUCACAAAGAGAGCAUCAAGGGAAUAUAAUAGGAAGAAAAGACAUAGAGCAAAAGACUCCGAAUCAAACACUUUCAAACAAAGAAUAUGUAAUUUCAAUUUCUUAGUUUAGAUUUAAAACAUUUCUUUUCAGUACUCGUGUGCUUGCGCCCCUUAGAGGCAUUUCUGUUUAAGUUCCAAUUGUAAAGUCAUUGCCAAUAAAACAUCACUUUUUGGGACUUUAUCUCAAGAGGUUUGUCCCAUACACAAUCACCUGAUCCCUUUUUAAUUGUUAGUGACUACCCGCGCGAAACAAUUUGGCACGCCCAGUGGGAUAUUGGUGUUUGGUGCUGAAGAUACAAAAGGUGAAACAAUAUGCCUCAGAAAUCCGAUAAGGAAACAGCAAGCCAGGGAGGAGUCCAGUCUGUAAUCGAGCGAUAUGAGGAGCAGCAUAGCUCUCCACGAAUAGAUGGACAGGAUCAGAGCAAUCACAGUUGUUACGAACCAAUGACAGAGUUGAGUCCUCGAACCAUGCGUGCAUUACUCGAAAAACUCACACAAGAUGUCGUUGAACAGGUAAAUCUAUGAAAUAUUCAUAAUAUGGAAAGAUUUACCUAGAAUGGGAAUGCACAUUAUGACAACAUGGCCAAACAACUGAAUACUUUGAACGAAAUAAUGAAUAAGUUAGUAGGUCAAAUUUGUCAGCCAGUUGUGCCUCUUACAAACUACUUUCAAAUUAGGACAAUUGUGGGACAUAAUCCCCCAGUCCUAAGUUUAAAUCAAGGGGUAGAACCACAUUUUGAUCCCUCUACUUCAAACAGGGGAGUGGUGUAAUUCCAAAUCAGAAUAAUGGCACUGGUACAUCUAACUUGGGGGGUAACCUAAAUGUAAGAGAUAAUGUCAUAAAUAAUGGGCAGAAUAUCCCACGUGUUAGUAAUGGAAUAAAUGUUCAGGCUAAUGGUAACAAUGGCCCAAAGCAUGGUAACUUUGUUGCCAAUCAAGGACCAAACAUCAGGCCUCAAGCAAAUCAACCGGUCAACCAACCUGUAGGGAUUCCAUAUGACCCCAACGUCAUGUUGAGGAAUCAGAUUAUGGAAAUCGUACAGGACCAAAUGGCUUUUGGGGUACGUUCUGUCAUUAGGCCGACUUACACAAAGCCAUAUCCUGAUUGGGUAGACCAAGCAUAUCCAUGGCCUAGAGGGUAUAAAGUGCCAGAAUUCUCACUGUUUACCGGUUUAGGAGAGGUGUCUACUCUAGAACACAUAGGGCGAUUCACACUGCAAAGUGGUGACGUAACUUGAUUACCAUAAAAUGAGGUUGUUCCCUAGUUCAUUAACAGGAGUAGCCUUCUCCUCGUUCAUCAAUUUGCCAGCAAACUCUGUUCAAACAUGGCAACAAUUGGAGUAAUUGUUCCACGCUCAGUUUUAUAAGAUUGAGGUUGAAGUUACUUUGGCCAAUUUGGCGAAUCUACGUCAACUGCCAAACGAAUGGGCAGAAGGUUUCCUUCAAAAGUCCAAAACAGCAAAAAGUAAAUGUUUUGUACCUUUGCCCGAAAAGGAGUUUGUCAAAAUCGCUCAAGGUUGUCUAAGCUUUGAUCUGAAGAAGAAGUUCCAAGACAAGGAAUUUCCUGAUCUUUUCCAAUUGAGCGUGAACGUGAUUAGGUAUGAACGAUUAAUAAGAGAGGAAGAACAAAUGAAAAAUUCUAGCAAAGGGACUUAUUAUAGAGACCCAAAUUUUGAUGCUCAUACCAUUAACGACGAGUAUUACAAUCAAAUCGGAAUGUGUUUGGCCGAAUUAGUUAAAGGAGGCACAUAUACUAGUCCUAUAAUGGCUAAGCCUAAACCGUCAGGCAAGGAUGAGCCUAUAAAAGAUGAAAACAUAAAGGCUAGAACGUUCUUAUUCGAUGUAGCCAAAACUGACCUUAUAUUUGAUAAAUUAUAUAAGGAUAAGUAGAUAAAUCUGAGCGAUAAGCAUAAAUUGCCAAGCCCUGAACAAAUUAAGGGUAAAAAAUAUUGUAAGUGGCAUAAUGCGUGGUCACAUUUGACUAACAACUAUUUGGUUUUUCGCCAUGUGCUACAGGAUACUAUUGAAAAAGGACGAAUUACGUUCGAGGAUAAGAAGAAGAUGGCAGUGGAUGAAAAUCCUUUUCCACAGCCACUUGGAGUGAACAUGGUGACGUCUGGUUUCAGAAGCAAGUUGCCAAAAUUCAAGUUGGUUAUAGAUGAUGGAGAAGAAGAAGCUGAACCACAUCCCAGCGUCUUUGAACGUAUCAAAGGGAAGGAGCCCAAAAAGGACAAAGACGUCCUAUGUGCAAGAUGCAAAAAAGAAGCGAGUGCAAAUGCAGAAAAACCAGGGAUAUGGCAGCAUCACCAUCGCCCUAGUUUUUUCCCAAAUGCUCAACCUAGUAGAGGGCAAGGUACAUCAUUUUAUAAGGGACCGCCUUUUGAAAGGCAGUUCAGGCCAGUAAAUAAUGGGAGAACAUUCAGACCGCAACCUCGCCAACCAAAUGUAUGACAUUCGUUCCAGUAUGAGGCUGGAAAGGCGAUACCUUUCAACAAGAUUACUAGAACCCAACAAAGGCAUUUUCAACAGAACUAUGGGUGAAUGAUGAGGCGACAACAGGGAAUGCUGCGUCCUAAGGCACCUAGAUUACUCGAGGCAGCCAAUCAGAAUGUUCUCAAAGACAGUGAAGAGACUGAUACAGGCGAACCUAUGGAAGAAUUGCCACAGGCUUCUUCUGGGAGGUCGAAGUUUGAGUGAGAGAGGGGAUGGAGAAGAUCCAGAUCAACCCCUUACUACCCAAUUUGGUACGUUACCUCCUGUCGUGGCUAAUAACUAUUUACUAGCCAAUGAGUUCAAGAAUAAAGAGAAAGGGGAAGAAGAAAAGGAGGAUAAUGAAGAGGAAGCAUGCAUGCUGGAAUAUGAAGAAGACCAAACUUCUAGGGAGGCCUACAAUAGUAAAGAAGAUAAUGGUAUGACAGACAUCGAAGAGGAAAUCGAUCUGGAAGCGGAAAGAAGAAGAAGAGGAGUAUCGUACAAUACUCUGUUGAAGCAAUUACAUCGAGAGGGAGUUCGUGAAGUAGACUUAUUGGGAGAACCAUCUGGGCGUUCUUUCGAUUUUUACGUGCUGUACGGGAUGCCCAAAAGGAAGAAGAGAGUGCCUCGCUCUAAAAAGUAUGGAUCACCUCCAAGAAUAAUGCCUCAUCCUAUGGGUUGGGUAACUGAAGAAGAAGCAUUAGAAAACAGUGAAAAGGAAAUUCAGGAGACAGAGGCUCAGAGCGAUAUGUUGCACGUUGACUUAUCACAAAGGGGUAACUCGACGGAGGACAAGCAGAAAGUGGAAAUAGAUGCUGCCGAGGCCAUUGUAUGUUAAACUCUAGUUAACGGCAUACCUGUGGCAAAAGUGUUUUUCGAUAAUGGAGUAGCUAUAAACACUAUCCGAUCUAGGAUGAUGAGAAAAUUUGGAACGACAGAAGGUGAUACGAUCCCAACGGAAGUCAUCCUUACAAGUUUCAAUGUAGGAGCAACUUCUGCUAAAGGGAUUAUGGCAUUGGACAUAACUAUAGGAACAACUACUAGGACCACAGUCUUCUUUGUAAUAGAUGGUCCCACUAGUUACAAUGUGUUAUUAGGAAGAGAUUGGAUACACGGAAGUCGUUGUAUACCUUCAUCGCUCCAUCAGUGCCUAGUUUUUUGGAAUGACAAAGGCGAAACAGAGGUGGUGCAGGCCGAUCAUAGGCCUUUUGUCACAGAAGAAAACUCAGUAGAAAGGUUCAUGUACGAAGGAAAUUAUGGACCUAUCAGAAUAGUCCAAGAUGGAGAAGAAACUCAGAUUGUCGCGCAGAGUGAAGAGCCAUUUUCGAUGGAUGCACUCACAGAAAUGUUCAGUCAGAUGAGGCCAAACAUAGUGGCCCUGGAGGAGCCAGUAAUUGGCAAAAGAAUGACAAAUGAGUUUUAAAAGAGUUGUAAACAACAAAGACAAAUGGCCGAUAUUCAGACCUUCAAAGCCAAAUUAAUGGCUUUCAAUAAAGAAUGCAAGGACAAGACGAAAGGAGCAGCAGCCUUGAAAGCAUUGAGAGACAAAUUGGCAGUGUUCGAGUUGGAACAAAGUAUUGGCCGAGAAGUCAACAAGGUGGAUUGUUUAGAAGAAAAAGUGCCUACAAGGGAACUGGACGACGAAGUGAUAAAGAUUGCCAAGCCUAGAUACGCUCAAGCACAAGACCCCCUGCUUAAAGUGAAUAUUGGCAAUGAAGGAGAAGAUUGCCUAACGUUUAUAAGCCAAAUGCUCAAUUAAGAGGUUAGUGAUAAAUUAUCGCUUUAUUAAAGGAGUACAAAGAUUGUUUUAGUUGGGAAUAUGAACAUAUGCCUAGUUUAGAUAGAGAUUUGGUGGAACAACCAAGCCUAAUUUUAAACCCCAUAGGCAACCUCUUAGGCGUUUCGCUCCUAAUAUACUCCCUGAAAUUAAGAAAGAGAUAGAGCGAUUAUUAAAAGCAGGCUUUAUUAGAACGGCCAGAUAUGUUGAAUGGUUGUCCAAUAUCGUGUCGGUAUUAAAAAAGAAUGAUAAACUAAGGGUGUGCAUAGACUUUAGGAAUUUAAACAUAGCCAUACCUAAAGAUGAAUAUCCAAUGCCCACGGUAGAUUCUUUAGUAGACUCGACUGCCGGACAUGUGAUGUAUUCCUUCAUGGAUGGGUAUUCAGGAUACAAUCAAAUUUACAUAGCUGAAGAAGAUAUACACAAAACUGGCUUUAGAUGCCCUGGGUCUCUAGGAUGUUUUGAAUGGGUAGUUAUGCCUUUCGACCUGAAAAAUGCAGGAGCAACUUAUCAAAGGGCAAUGAAUUUGAUUUUUCAUGAUAUGAUAGGCAAGUUUAUUGAAGUGUAUGUAGAUGAUAGAGGACUAUUUUGAACAAUUAAGAUGUUCAUUUGAGUGAAUGAAGCAAUAUAAACUAAAGUUGAAUCCCUUGAAAUAUGCAUUUGAUGUUAAUGCAGGGAAUUUUCUUGGUUUUUUAGUACACAAAAGGGGGAUUGAACUUGAUAAAAAUAAAGCGAAGGCUAUUUUAGAGGCCAAACCACCUAACAACAAAAAAAAAAUUGCAAAGGUUUCUAGGUCAAGUAAACUUUUUAAGACGCUUUAUUUCUAACUGUGCAGGGCGAACUAAAGCUUUUUCGUCACUUUUAAAGUUGAAAAAUCAGGACAAAUUCGUUUGGAAAGAAGAGCAUCAAAAGGCUUUUGAAAGCCUAAAGACAUAUUUAUCAAGUCCACCAGUGUUGGUGUCACCAAUCCAAGGACGGCCAAUGAAAGUGUAUGUAUCGAUUGAAGAAGAAUCAAUAGCUGGAAUGGUCGUGUAGGAAGACCAAUUUGGUGAAGAAAUAACGAUUUACUAUUUGAGUAGACAGUUAACAAAAUGUGAAUGUAAUUAUUCUGCCAUUGAAAAAUUAUGUCUUGCAUUGUAUUUCACAUGUAUAAAACUAAGGGCUUAUUUACGGCCCGUAACAGUUUAUUUAAUUUCUAAAGUAAAUUUGGUUAAGUAUAUGUUCUCUCGCCCUAUUUUGCACCAAAGGGUAGACCUUUGGACAUUAGCCUUAUUAGAAUUUGAAGUAAAAUACAUACCCCAAAAGGCAGUUAAAAAUCAAGCUUUGGCUAAUUUUCUAACCGAUCAUCCAUGCCUUGAUAUGUUUGAAGAAAUUGAGUUAGAGAUCAAUUCAUUCGAAUUAAAACCUUGGAUUUUAUAUUUCAAUGGAUCGAAAACCUCUAAAGGUGUAGGAAUAGGGGUAGCAUUGAUAAAUCCUUUAGGGAUUUGUUACAAGUUCGCAUUCACUUUGGACAGAAUGCGUACCAACAAUCAGGCCGAAUAUGAAACCUUAAUCGUGGGCCUAGAAUUAAUGAUAGAUAAGGGGAUAAAGAAUGUGAUCGUUAGAGGCAAUUCUCAAUUGGUAAUUCACCAAUUGAUUGGUGAUUUUAAAUGCCAAAGUGAUUCCAUUAUAAGUCAAUAUGAAAUCGCCCAAGAGUUGUUGGAAGAAUUCGACCAAAUAGAGCUUUAAUAUGUUAAUAGGAUAUAUAAUGACGCAACAAACGAAUUGGCCCAGAUGGCCUCAGGGUACUCAACGGUUUUAAAUUGGAAGUCUAUUUGUGAGUAUGGAACAAUAUUGCCUGUGAUCCAAAGAAGGGCGAGAACGAUUGAAAUUCAUUGUAUACAAGAUGGAGAUGCAAUAGAUUGGAGGACAGAGAUUAAGGAGUUCCUUAAAAAACCUAAUAAAGGAGAUAGUAGAAAAAUGAAGUUGCGUUUGCUAAUCUAUGCAUUGAUAGAUGAAGAGUUGUUUAAGAAACGCUUUGAUGGUAUAUUGCUAAAAUGUGUAAGUUUGCAAGAAGUCAGGACGAUCAUGGCUGAAGUGCACGAAGGAAUAUGUGGAGCUCAUCAAGCUGGCCAAAGGAUGAGAUGGUUAAUUAUUAGGAAUGGAUAUUUUUGGCCAAAGAUGGGAGAAUCAUGCGUUCAGUAUGCAAAGAGUUGUCUAGCAUGCCAAAAGCAUGGUCCAAUACAAAGAGCGCCAGCACGAGAGAUGACACAUAUUAUCAAACCUUGGCCGUUUAAGGGUUGGGCGAUAGACCUAAUAGGGAAGAUUUAUCCCCCAUCAUCCAAGCAACAUACCUUUGUUAUAGUUGCAACUGAUUAUUUCACUAAGUGGGUAGAAGCGGUACCUUUAAAAGAGAUCACCCAAAAGAAUGUCAUAGAAUUUAUCCGUGAUCACAUCAUUUAUAGAUUUGGAAUUCCACAAACUUUGAUGGUAGAUCACGAAAAAUCUUUAAAUGGAGAUCAAGUGAAUAAAUUCUUGAGCGAGUUUGGAGUUAAAUUAGCGAACUCCACACCAUAUUACGCUCAAUCCAACAGGCAAGCAAAAUCUUCUAAUAAGAUUCUAAAAAAUAUCAUAAGAAAAAUGAUAUAUGAAAACGCCAGAAAUUGGCACGAAUGUCUAAACAAGGCCUUAUGGGCUUAUAGGACGUUGCCUUGGUCAAGUACAAAAAUUACUCCUUUCGAACUUUCUUAUGGACAAGAGGCCAUUUUGCCUAUGGAAAUCAACGUGCAAUCGAUUAGAGUGUGUUUGCAAAUAAGUUAAGUGUUGAUGAGUAUACCGAAUCACUAGUUCAAAACUUAUUGGAGUUGGACGAAUUAAAGUUGGACGUCCUAAAUAGAUUGCAAGUUCAAAAACGGAGAAUGGCUAAAUUUUAUAAUAAAAAAGUUAUAGCCAAGUCGUUCAGCCUGGGCGAAUUGGCUUGGAAAACAGUACUCCCUUUGGAUAGCAAAGAUCCAAAGUAUGGCAAGUGGUCGCCCAAUUGGGAAGGACCAUAUAAAGUAAAUAAUGUGUUGUCUAAUGGAGCCUAUCAUUCGGAAGAUUUAGACAGCACCAAGCACAUGAGGUUCAUUAAUGGAAAAUAUUUAAAAAAAUAUGUUCCUUCUUAUGGGAAAGUGAACAAAUAAAAGUAUAAUCAAAUCGCGUUGAACGAUCGUAGAGUAAAAAGGGCCAGAGCGAAAUACGUUCAAAUAAAUUCCUUUAUUAUCAAACGUUCAUUACAAAGUUGCAAAAUACAAAAUGCUAAAUGCUCUAUAAACUACAAUUAAGAGCAAACUAAUCUCCCGGUCGAUCGCCAGUAAGAGGGUGUACUGGCCUUGAUUGCCAUCCUGAUCGUACUGCUGUGAGUAGAGAGGUCGAGAAGCACUCUCAGCAAGCAGAAAGGAAGAAGAAGCAUCCUCACAUCGCCUUCCUAAAUGCAUUGCUGCAAUGACGGGUAAGGAGGCUGAGAAGCACUCUCAACAAGCAAGGUGGCUUGCAAGCGUCCUCAAAAAUUUUCUUCCAUCAUCGAACUCCUUGUAAGGAACAUGGAGAUGAUGGGAAGAACUUUGCUGGCCAAAGAAUAUUUUCUAUAUCUCCCAUACCAAAGGUGACAUCAAGAAAGAUGGUAAAAUGGGUGGAUCAAAUGAUCCAUUUCCAUGAAAGACGAAGGUUUUGGAUCGAUUGUCAAAAUGCCAAACAAUGGCAGCAAAUUGGUUUUGAAGAAGAGAAUGGAAAUGAAAAUGACAAGUGUGGAAUAUAAGUGCAUUUAUAGAGACGUGAAGGUGAAGAGACUGAAUAUGAACAGCCACAUUCGUGCCUAAUAACUAGAAUCAAAUGACCCAAAAUCUUGGGAAAAGAGACCGAAAUACCAAGAGAAAAUGUGCGUGAAUCUUAGCAUAAAGCAGUUAAAUGUUUGGGGGGUUGACGAAUAAAGACAAUGUCAAUAAAUACACAAGAAGAUAAAUUAAUCGUUCAUUAAUGAUAAUGGCUGCUGGUAUAUUCAGAAUUACCAAUGAACAUCAGUACGAGGUUACAAGGGGAAAGUUAAUGCGAAUUUACAAAAAAAAAAAAAAAAGAAGUUAAGGCAUUAGAUAUCUUAAUUACAAUUCACCCCAAAUUGAACAAAUUCUUUCCCUAAGUCUCCCCCAAUUCUCGCUCUGCUGAGAAGAAGUGACAUUCAAUUCAGCCACAAAAUCACCAUCAACCUCUGACUUCUUGUACUGCUCGACCAAAGACUUGGUUCGCUCAAUUCCUUGGGAGGCAUUGCAUUUUUUGGCAGCCAUUCUCGCCUUACAGUUGUCUAUCUUUGCUUGAAGCUCCUUCAUUUGUGCAGCCAAAUUGGUCAUCAAAGAGUCUUCAAUCAUGACUUCAGAAGAGAUUUCUUUCAAUUCGUUCUUAGCUUUGUUGAUCUCCAGAAGCAAAGAUUCUCUUUCAAAUACAGCGCGAAGAUAUUGAGUACUUUUGGCCUUCAGUUCAACAUUCUUGGCCAGCAAGGAGAGAAUCUCGGAAUGGACAACUUUCAACAUCGCUUUAAAAUCAACAGAAAGAUUAAGCGACGGAAGUGUCAGUGCUUGCUCCAACUUCGCACUCAAAUGCUCAAACUUAUCCUUAUGUUUAGCAGCACUAGCCUGACUGAUGUCCAUAUCCAUAAAGGACACGUACUCAAAUAUCGACUGCUUGAGGAACUUCAUAUCUUCCUCUAAAGAAGCAGAAGGACGACUGGUUGAAGCAGGGCGAGACGUCUUGACUUGCCCCCAGGAAAUGAACAAGUCCUGAAUGGAACGUACAAUCUUAUCAGCAUCCUGCAAAGAAAGUUACCAACAUUGAAGGUUUUCACUACAAUGAACAAAGUGGAAGUAAAAGUGAAGCAAAGAUUACCUCAUCAGCAAUCUUGGGAGGUGGCAUAUCCCCAGCCAAAUCUACCACCUGUGGCUCCACCACUUAUGAGGACUUUCCCUUGUCUGAGCGAGAAGACUUUGCCACAACGGGCAAACCCAUGGGAGCAUCUGCAAAACUCAAAAAGCAACAAAUCAAAAAUCAAUAGCAUAAGCAAAGGUAAAACAUCAAAAAAUAUAUUACCUUCUGGUUCAACGUUUGGGGGAUUGACGCCCUGAGAAGAAGGUGGCUCAUCCAUUGGUUGUGAUGAGGAUUUCGAAACUGAUGGUUUCUCUUUAAGCGUAGUUCCUUCAUCAGCUGGUUUGGAUGAAGCAGCCUCAGCAGAGGGUGAUGGAGCAGGAGCUGCCAACACCAAAGCCUUCAAAGGAGAAGCUGAGGUUUUCUGAGAAAUCUGAAUAAGCCAUCAGCACAUAGAAAAGUUCCAAGUAUAGAAAGGUAUGCUUGCGAGUAAACUAAUUUAAUUACCUUUCUCCUGAAAAUGAGAGGAGUGUCAUCAUCAUCAUCCUCCAAAAUGGGAGAUGCUGAGGCUGGCCAUUUACGGCUUGGGGCACUCUUAGCUGCAGUGGGCUUGGUAGGAAGAAAAGUAAAUGGACGAACAGACUGUUUAGCACGAGCAGAAGAGGAAGGACUCCUAAUGGACACAGGGGUGACCAAAACAGGAGAAGUGGAAGAAAUGUGUGGUUGAUCUAGUGAAUGGAAGCGCGAUUGGCAUCAGUUGCAAACAAUCUGCGCUGCACUGAUGGCCAGAGUUGUUCAAAAAGGGGAUGGAUGGCAUGGCAAGGAUUGAAGGGGGCUAAUGAAAAGUUACUCGUCAAAAGAAUAUUGCGAGCAUCAAUAGCUUCUGCCUCUGCCUUAUUAAUGGUGUGAAAACGAUCUAUCAAAUUUUUAGAAUAACAAGGGGGAACAGGUCAAGUUUGGCCAAAACCAAGUUGACGAGCAAAAAAUUGGGGAGCAUAUAUUUCAACCCCAGCUUUGGCACUGGUUCCAGUCAAAAUGUCAUGGAACAACUCCCUCUCGGUCAAAAACUGAACCCAAACGAGCAGAGAGGUGCUCGCUCUGUCCAGAGUGGAUGAAAGUUGCACAUAAUCUGGAAUUAAAAAGGGAGGAAAAGGAAAGAAAGAAAGAAUUGAAUUCAAAGUAUAAAAGAAUGAAAAAAUGUCCCUUCUGGACAUAUUUACAAGGCUCAGUGGGCCAAUAGCUAGCCCAUAACAGCUAGCAGAAGGAAGGGAAAAGGAUAGAGCACCAAGUGAUGGAAAAUAGGCUCUUAACCACAUUUGAGUGAACCAAAGAGGCUAAUUACCAGCGGGAGAUGCACCAUUCUUCAAUUGGAAUUGGAGAGAAGCCAUGCCUUUAUAGAGGGCAGCCAAAAAGAAAGAACACAAAUUCAGAGGUCUACCAUGCGUCAAUUCAUGCGCUAUAGGUAAAUAGCUCAUAGAAGGCUUCAUGCUUGGCGCACACAGAACAUAUUCACAAAGCCAAAUCUGAAUAAAGACCACGCGCUCAGCAUGGGAAGGUUCAGCGCUCGAGUGAUUAUAACAGCUUUGCAGGCUUGAAUAAGACUCGAUGAGUUUUCUGCCAAAUUUUGGGGCAACACCAGAAAUCAAAAUACCAGGGAAAAUAGUAUUGCCCAAAGGUGGCAAAUUUACUAAGGCCCCAACAUCCCUUAAAGUAAUGGACAUGGGAUCAAGAGGGAAAACAAAAAUAUUAUACUCAGAGGACCAAAAAUUUAAUGCAAUAGGGAAAAGCGCUGAAUCAAAAAUAGGGGGUUGAAGAGAGAUUUCUAACAAAUCAGAAAUUCUAGCACUAUCAAAAAUUGUCUUGGUAGGACCAUGUUCUAUAAGGCGAGCAUGCCAUCUACGGAAAACAAUAUCAGAUUUAGGCCAAUUGCGAAUACCUUUUUCACGAAGCGGCCUCAGCGUCAAAGAGUUUAGAAACAGAGGGCCUUGAGUACAAGGGAACAGCUGGCCCACCGCCACUUGUUCGACGGCCUCGGCAUUGUUGAAUGAAGGACCUAGAUAGAACUCAUUGAGUUCGGCAUUGGCUGGUGCGAGGAAGUUCGAAGUUAUAUAUGGCCGAGUGAGGAUCUUCUGGAAGUCUUCAAAAAUGAAAGAGUCGCCAGAUUGGGAUUGUGAAGCAGCCAUUAGGAAUGAAAUAAAUUUUUGUUGAGGUUUGCUUGAGAAACAUAGCAGAGAAGUAAGAAAAUGAACAGUAAUAUUGCGAGAGAGAAGCGCAUGACAAUGAGGCGUGAUUUAGUAGUGCGAUAAAAUGGCGUGUAUUUGGGGGUUAGGGUUUGCAACGUCGCACCUUUUCAGGUUAUGGAAGAAAAUAAUGAUUGAAAUUCUUGGGAAUUUCAAAUGUUGCUGGGAAACACAAAGUAAAUAUGGCAAAAAUUAAUAAUUGAUAUUAAUUCUGUCAUACUGGGGGUAAUUGUUGACACGUUACAAGUACAGCCCAACACGAAUAGCCUAAAGAAUGAAGCCCAACUGGGUAAUUUAGGAUAAAGGCCCAAAUAGGGUUAUUAAUGAAUACAGUGGAAGCCCACGAACGCAGUAAUACCAUCGCGCAAACUUGCAAGACGCCCAAGACCUGAGCGAAUGAAGUACCUUGCAGUCGCCCAGAGUUAUGACCCUGUUCUCGCCCAAACCUUCGAAUCGCCCAAAAUCUUAGCAAACAUAUGAUAUUAUGGUUAUCCAAAAGUGCAGUUAUCGAAGCAGUUAUUGGGUAAUCUCAUCACGUUCUACAAUUCAGGGAGUUCAAUUGAAGACGGUUGAACGACAAAGAGUAGUGGUAGCAUUAGAGACGACAGUUCCACGAAUAGUUGGCCACCAUGAAGAAAGUGGGCAGUUAUAAAGCAAUUAAGCAGUUUCUAAGCGGUUGAUCACAAAGAGAGCAUCAAGGGAAUAUAAAAGGAAGAAAAGACAUAGAGCAAAAGACCCCGGAUCAAACACUCUCAAACCAAGAAUAUGUAAUUUCAAUUUCUUAGUUUAGACUUAAAACAUUUCUUUUCAGUACUCGUAUACUUGUACCCCUUGGAGGCAUUUCUAUUUAAAUUCCAAUUGUAAAGUCAUUGCCAAUAAAACACUACUUUUUGGGACUUUGUCUUAAGAGGUUUGUCCCUUACACAAUCGUCUGAUCUCUUUUUAAUUGUUAGCGACUACCUGCGCGAAACACCAUUAAAAGCCCAAAUUCAAGAAAUUUGAAAAAUGAGAAAAAAAAAAUUUAAUAAAAUACUGACGAAGUCACCCCUUGAUUGAGUAGUUCGAUUGAAAUUCCUUUCUUUGGACUUUUGAGAGUUUAUGAUGUUUAAUUAGUAGCAGUAUUUCAGGCAUGACAAUGGUGUAGUGUGGUGCGGGUAGAAGUAGAUGAACGUUUUAUAUGUUAGUGUUUUUUUUUCUUUUUAAAAUUUUCUUUUUAUUAUUAUUGUUGUUAUUAUUAUUAUUGUUGUUAUUGUUUGACUUUUUGAGUGGAGGAAGUUAUUUGACAAUAUGUCUAUUGUAAUAAAAAUAAAAUAAUGGCAUAAAACUAACAGUCAUCGUAGAUGGAUUCUAUCUAAAGUGAUCAUUUAUGCCAAAAAUUUACAUCACUUUUGAACUGUUGGAACUGAAAAUGCUAUUUGAACUAAUAUUUGGAACUAUUUGAAUCAGUUCCCAAAUUUAAAAAGCAUAACUUAGGGGUGUCAAUUUGGCUCACCGUCUUAGAUUGCUUGUAACUCGGCCCAAAAAAGCCCAAGUCAACCCAACUUGAGGCUUAGUAGAUCAGCUAACACUCGGCCCGAUGCCCCAUGACAAGCUACAUGGGCCAUUUUCGGCUCGUGACAGCCAAGACAUAAAAAAAUAAUAAUAAUAAAAAAUGCUACAUAGCUGCAUGACACGCAACGUGUUGUAGAUAUGUUAUAUUUUAAAAAAAAAAAAUUAGCCAGCUUAACUUGAUAAGGUCCGAGCCGAAAGCUCUAGUCAAACAAAAGCUAGACUCGGCUCUAACCAAAAAAAUCCCGAAUCGUUUUUACUUGAGCUGAGCAAGACUCUCAAGUUUCAGCUCAUGAGUCAGCUCGACUAGACUCGUCGACAUCCCUACAUAGACUAUCAUCAUGAGGUACAAGAAAAGGACAAGACUCGGUGAAGUUGGCACAUGUGGUGAAAUAUUUUCUAUCCAGCUCUCUCCCAAGUCCUACAUAAGGAGUAAAACGGUUGCACAUUUUAUUUUAUGUUGUACUAAACAAAGAGACACCUUAUGUUUAGUCAAAUUUCCGCUAAAAUUCCCCGUCUUUUCUUUUUUUCUUUUUUUCUUUUCCCUUCACCUUUCUUUUUCGGGUUCUUUUUUCUAUUCCUUCCCAUGCGCAUUCACACAUGUGCAUUGUAAUAUUUGCAAAUAGGAAACAUGUUUAUCUUUAUAUUUAUUUUUUCUUGAAAAUUUUACAAAAUAUAUCAUGUAUUUAUGGUAUAUUUGGAAUUUAUACUAAUAUCUACAAUUCCUUAUUAUAAAAAAUUAAACAGAACAAAAUACAUUUUAAUUAAAAAUUACAAAUCGCACCUGUACAUUGAUUUGUAUAACGCUUCACAUCCUAUUUUUUUUAAUUUUUUAUUAUUCUUAAAAAUUUAUUACUAAAGGCAUAUGAUGUAUUAUUCAAUGUUUUUUAGCAUAUGAAAUAUUAUUAAAUGUUUUUUUCUAUAUGUGGGUUAGAAAAUUUAUUAUCUUCUUUUCUUUAAAACUACAACUUGAAAAAGGGAAAAAAAUAGUCAAUUAAUAAUGUGUUGGGAAAAAAUAGGAAAAAAUCAUUUAAAUUUUAUUAUUAAACGGAUUGAUGAAAAUUAUUAGUUGUCAUCAUUUACUAAAUAAGAGCAUCUACGAGAGACUUGGUAAAUAUAGGAUACUCCAUACUUUAGAGAUUUAAUACUUAAAAUAAGCUCAAAAAUAUUUUAUCUUGCCCUUUCACAAUAGAGAGUCAAACUCAUCCAUAUUUUUUAUUUAUAAUGAUAGCAUUUAGUAAGUUACAGAUUCCACUACUAUACUUUCUAAAAAAAAAAAAAAAAGGGGGUACUUUAUGUUAUGAAUGAUUUUACUAACCCAUAAACAUAUCAUGAAAUCCAAUUUAUUUAAAUACAAAAGUAAAUUGACCAUCAUCAUUUAUGCUCAUGUAAUUUAUCGUUCAACAAAGUUUAAAAUUAAUAUGCACGUUCACCAGAUUAAAGUCAACACCAAACACUAAAUUAGGUUUGGGAAAAAAACUAUCGAUUCACUUCAAAUUAUUCUAGAUUUUUUUUUCGCUCAUUCAACAAUAUUUUACUCUUAACCAUUUAUCAUUUUUCAUAUGAUACUUGUAAUUUUUCAAAGAUCAAAUAAUGGUAGGCGUAUCCUCGCUAGACAAAGGAUUAAAAAAUGAGUAAUAAAUUUAGUAGCGUAUUGAAAAAUACUAAAUAGACUGAUUGUCACCAAUCAUGCUUUCAACAAUUUCAGGAUUCUAUCUCAAUCUCCUUUCUUUCAUUCUUUGUAGUUAUAGCUAUAAUUAUUUAAAUCUACAUUUGUUUUAGUUUGUUAUUUGCGGUUUAUCAUUAUAUAUCUACAUUUUGUUUUCUGGGGUUUAUCUGAUACUAUGUCCAUUGUCAUUGUAUUUUAAUUAAACAACUUAAUGUAAUAAAUUAAAUGAUUCGGAUAUAUCUUCUACUUGAAUCAAAUCAUGAAGAAAAGAACGCUAACUGAAUGUAUUUUGUGAGUCAAAUAAUCUGAAACCAUUUUAAUUGUUAUUAGAAUUAAAGAAAAUACGAAUAAAAAAGAAACUCUAAUUAAUAAGAACUCUCUAAAGCCAUAUUCCUUUCAUACUAUGCACAUGGGAAGAAAAUGGAUCAAUCAAGACGUUAAAGAAAUGUCAAAAUCAAUAAUAAUUACAUUUAGUGCAAGUCCAUUUCCAUUAAAUGUGCUUCCAAUUAAAUCUCCCUAUGAACAAGUCACUCCUAGGGUUUCAUGCCAAUCUUGACCCUAUAUAGAAAGAAAUAGAGUAAGGUCAAGUAAAUAGAUUAUAGGAGCAGGUAUUAUAACAACUUUAACAAUUAUUGUACUUCAAUGCUUGAUAGAUAAAAAUAUGUGGAUCAUGCUUGAGGAAAUUUGUUGAUAUUUUUGUUUGCUGACGUGUAUGUGGACCCACCUUAAAUUCUUUUACAAAAGUCAUUUAUACAUAUUUCAUGUGUAGAUUUUUUUAAUAUCCAAUUAACGUACUAGCGAUUCAAGUCCUUUUCAACUCUAAAUUUUGAUCAUCCCAAACUUUGUCUAAAAAAAUUUACGAUCUUUAAAAUCCUAAUAAACUAUAUUUCCAUACUAUAAUUUGCUCAUUUUGUAUCGCUAAAACAAAAACUUGAAUUCCAUUUCAAUGUCAUGUACAUCAUAAAUUUGCUAGAAAUUCAAUAAAGUUAAGAGGUAACAUCAUUUUUAUAUCAUAUGUAUACAAUUUUUUGAUACAUUUUCCCACCCAAAUUUGUUAAUUUUUACGCUCAAAUCAUUAGUGGUGUACAAGUAACGACUAUAAGUAGAAUUCCAGGCCAAUAAAUUAGAGCAUUUGUUAGUGAUUUGAAUGAGUUAUAGCUUAAUUAUGUGCAAAUUGAUGGAAUUGAAAGAAAUGAAUGAAAAAGGAGCAAAAAUGAAAGAAAUCCAAUGUAUGGGGACCAAAGUGUAAAUAUUCAAUGGUUGAUUUGAACCAUAAAAGAUACAUUAAAGAUUGAUAGGAGUCAAUUGAAUGCAAAUCGAAGUAAAAAAGGAAUAAGCUAUGAUCAGAAUAUUAGCAUAAAUCAGCUUCCAAUCACAUAAAAUAUCUUCCAAAUUUUUUUGUCGAAUUGAGACACAUUUUUUGGAUAGUAAAUGUUUGAAUUAGAAAAAUUGUAUUUUAUAAGAAUUGCAUCUCUUUGAAUUAUCUUUCCAAUGUACUUUGAAUCACCUCUAUCAUAUGUUGGAAGGGAAAGUUAUGAUCAAAAUACUGAAAGGUGUGCAGAGACAAAAUCAUGUAUAUGCAAAGACAACUUUUCUUAUUCCAUUAAAACUCUUUCGGAAGGUAAUUUGGAGGUGAAUUUUAACUUAAUUUUAUCAUAUAAAUAUAAGACAUGGAUAGCCAUGAAGAAAACCCUCUCUUAUUUCUUUAUACACAAUAGUUUCAUCAAAUUCAUUAAAUACAAAGUGCCAAUUACUGUAUUUUGAGAGAGGAGAUCAAGCCAUAUGAUCAUUCAAGCUUAUGAGUGGUUAAUUAUUUUAUUUCAUCGGUUUAGGUACCAAACUUGUGGCCUGAUUGCUUAUGUGAAAGUUAUGCAACUAGUCUAACCAGGUUGAAGAACAAUAAAUGCCUUUUAAGGGAAACAAGUUUAUGCAACUAGUCUAACCAGGUUAAAGAACAAUAAAUGCCUUUUAAGGGAAACAAGUUUAAGUGAAUGAACUUGUAAUGAAGAGCUAGCUAUAUAUGUCUUCAAGCUCCAUGCCUCUAAACCAUGUUGUUGAUGUGUUUUGUAUGAAGAGGUACACUUUACUAUUAAUGCUUUCAAUAACUCAUAUAUAUUUCAAGAAGAGUAAUGCUAUUCAUAAUCUCUCACUGCGGUAGUUGUUCUACGUGACAUCCUACAUGACGAUUUAUAAUUUGAUAUAUUAAUGUAAUAAUCUUUUCUUGUCACGUAUAUCAAAUAUUAACUGCUAUACGCAUGUCACGUAGGACGACUGCGUUAGUGAGUUACUGCAAAUAACAUCAUUCUUUCAAGAAACCUAACUGGAAAGUCAUAAAUGCUACACUAAAGGCAAAUAACACACCCUAUUUACGAGAAAAAUAACUCUUAAUUCCACAAUUACUUCAAAAAUAAUUUGAAGUUCAGUUUCACGUGUAAAUUAUUAUUUUUAAUCAACGAGGGACAACUUUAUGCAAGCCACCGGGAAUGAAAAGAAUGCAAUAGACAAAUUGCAAAGCCUGAUUUCUGGGCAAUAUUUUAAAGUUUCUCUGGCAUGUAAGCAUUUCGGAUUGAAAGGUGAAUGGAAAGCAUGGGCAGCUGAUGUAUGAAAAUCUUUAUAAAUCCAAAGAACCGGUUUAUCCUAUGGCUAAGCACUCAAGCUAAGCUCCUAACAAAUGACAAGUUGGUGUACCUUAAUAUCGAUGGAACAUGUGAUCUAUGUGAAUCAUCAACUGAAAACGAUUCAAUACUUAUUCUUUCAAUGUUCAUUGAGCUCCUCCAUUUAGACGCAGAUAAGAUCAUGGCUUGGCAUUACUAGAUCAAUGACUAUGAUUGGUAGUGUAUUGAAGUGGAUAAAAAAGGAGGCACGUGGGACAUCUUGGCGUAAUAAAAUGAAGAGAAUUGCUCUUGCAAGUACAGCUUACUACAUAUGGAUGGCUCGAAAUAGAAUUUUUUUUGAAGAUCUUAAGUUACAUUUGGAUAGCAUAGUGAGACGGACUAAAACACAUGUAUAUAAAGUCAUGUUUUCUUUGUAUCCUAAUAUUUUGGUUCAUUUUGAAUCUCUAACGUUGUGUUGAUAGAUCCUUGUCGUUUGUACAUCUUUUAAUUUUUAUUUGCUCGGGUACGUCCGGUGUAAUUGUACAUGAGUUUUUGAUAAAUGGAAUUUACAUUUACCAAUCAAAAAAAGUUAACUUGUUGCAUUUUAGGGUGGUUGGAAGGUAAAGAAAAUGACACCAUGGAGUAUGUAGCAAUAAGUUAUUGGGCUUUUGAUUGUACUGUCAUUAUGCAUCUCUAGUAAGGCUGACAUCGUGUGAUUAAUAUUGAAGGUUGCAUCCAUGCCAAUAUUGUAGGUGCUUAUGACUUAGAAUAAUGAGAGUUGGAAAAUUUGCAAAAGCUAAAAAUUUAGAGUCCAUAAUAAAUCUUUGAAUCAUUCAAUUUAAUUAUAUUCACCAAAAGAUUAAUUAAGCUAAUUAACAACCACAAUAAUCUAGGUGGAAUAUUAGAAUAUAGAUAAAACUAGACAAAAUUAAACAAGGAUGUUAAUAUUUUAUUUAUAGUAUUGGUCAUCUAUCACAAGACACUGUCCUAAAAAUCAAAUGUACCUUGGUAGCUUGCACAAAAACUUAUUGCCUGGAAAUGACAAGACGAGCAUCCAAAAGACUGAGAAUUUCUAAAGGUUAUACAUCUCCUUUCCAAGAGAAAUAAUUAGAUGUAUGCAUGGGCAAGACUCACGUCAACAUAAAAAUAAUAAUAAGUUUCAUGGUUCAUUUUCAACUUUUUGUUAAUGUUAUGGAACAAUUCACAUGAGUUUAGACGAGAGUAAAAAUAACAAACUAGCAUUCAAAAGUAGGCUUUACGUUUUUUUUUUAUGUGCAUGAUGACAUUUUAGAUGAAGAAAUUAUUAAAAAAAAUUAAGAUGAAAAUCAGACAAUAAAAUCGUAUUUUAAAUAUUUCCCGUCCAGUACAAUGUAUAGAGAAAUUGUUUGAAUAUCCAUUAUUUUGGAAAUUUAAGACAUUUUGAUAGAUAAAAACUACUACUCGAAUUUGAAAAAUCUUAAAAUUGAGCUGCUUGACAUGAAGUUUAGGAUGUUGAUUCUUAAUCCAAGUCGCAGUUGUGGCCGAGACACUAAGGAAGUGGUGAUAAAGUCAUGAUCGAUAGGUUUGAAUCCACUUUGUGAAUAAGUCAAAAUAAGAAGAUACAAGGGGAGUUCUUCUAAUGUUCUUUUGUCAAUUUUGCAAAAUUAUUAAAAAAAGGAUACUAUUGUACUUUUGAUUGAUUAAUUGGUGAGUUGUUUAACCCGUGGCAUGGGGACUAUGGAUAUUUUCCUUCAAGGUUUACCAUGUUAUAUUCAGUGUCUGAGUUUAAAUGUGAUACUUAAUUGAGCAUUUACUUAAAAACUAUUUGAACGCAUUAUCCACCUGCACGUUACAAUCAGAACCGUUAAGAACUUACUAUAGGAAGUUCGGACUAUUUCUCAACCAGUAUUAUAAUUGUGAAAUUAAAAUUCAAUUCUAAUUUAUCUAGGUUUAGAAUCUACAACAUUAAUUGCUAAUUGUUUAUAAAAAAAUUCGCCACAGUGGUUGCGAAACUUUUGGGCAAUGCGAACUCAAUUGUGAUUGAAAUUUAAGGUUCUAUAAAGAUUUCUCGAUAAUUAAGUUUACGUUUUAUGUGGUAAUACAUAUAGUAGAUAAGUUUUCUUUAAAUAAAAAUCGAAUAUACAGUAUCCUAGAAUUAUUAUUACCUACAUCAUAACUUAAAUUUAUUUGCAUUUUCUUAAAUGAGUGUUUCCAAGUUGUUAGAAUAUCCAUAGCUCAUAUCUAUAUAUUGAAAUUAGAUAAAACUAUGCGAAUUUUGAAAAAGACAUAUAUAAUUUAGCAUUUAUCAAUUAUUCAAUUUAGUUUUACCAUUUUAAUAUAUUGGAUGCACUAUUAAUUAAAUAUUUAUCGAAUUGAGAAUUUUAUUUUGUUAUCAUUCUAAUCGCUGUGAUUGUCAUUUUUUUCCUUCUCUUUUCAUGAAUAGAAAUAUUUAAUAGUUCAUUGAAUCCAUUGGUUGACCUAGAAUAUAUUUGAGAACCUGGAUUUAUUUUAUAUAAUAAGAAAGCCAUAACCGAUUUUUCAAAUUCUAUUAUUAUUUUGUAAUAUUUAUUGUGAUCGAAGCAGUUCUUUUGUGGAGCAUAUCUUCAUACUCUUAUGACAUUGUAAAAGAGAGAAAGGGGUGCUAUGUAGUGAGAAUCAUUAUAAUUAUAUACCAAGAAAUUCUUGUUGGACACAAGACAAACACUAAAUAUUUGAAGAGAUGGGAUGCUUCUCACAAUACCCAUAUGGACAGUCGGUCAAUAUUUCAAGUGAUAUUAUUUUACUCAACAACAAAAUAUUUAACUAAUAUUUAUAUGGUCAUCCGAACUUGUGAUUGUGGUUAAUUAUUUUAUUUCAUUGAUUUAGGUACCAAACAUGCUUUUUGAGGGAAACAAGUUUAAUUGAGGGAAACAAUAAAUGUCUUCACCUACAUGCCUCUAAACCACGUUGAAGAACAAUGAAUGUUUUUUUGAAGAAAACAAGUUUAAUUGAUUGAACUUGUAUUGGAAGGUAGCCAUAUAUGUCUUCAAGGUACCUGCCUCUAACCAGGCUAUUGAUGUGUUUUAUAUGAAGAGGUACACAUUACUAUUAAUGCUUUCAAUAACUUGUAUACAUUUCAAGAAAUCCAGUUGGAAAGUCAUAAAUGCUACACAUAAGGCAAAUAACUCACCUUAUUCCAGAGAAAAGUAACUCCCAUACCGCGAUUAGUUCAAAAAUAUUCUGAUGUUCUGUUUCACGUGUAAAUAAUUAUUUUUAGUUGGAAUAUAUAUGCUACUUGUAUAUAAUGUGAUGUCCAUAAUGUCAUCCACCCCCCACAUAUGGAGGGGGACCCACGGUAGCAUCACCCUUUUUAGUCAACGCCACUGAUCAAUAUAAAGCUUGAAGAAUUAGCAUUUCAUUUGUUCUUUUUUUAUUAUUAUUCUUCUUCUUCUUCUAUUUAAUUAUAAUAAACUGGAAAUGUUUCACAAUACUUGAUUUGAAAAUGCAUUUGCAUUGUGCUCUUUUCUUAAAAUUUGAUUCAAGUAGGUGAUAUAUUCAAAUCAAUUAAUUGGUUGCAGUAUAGGGAGGUUGAGAGGUAAAAACUCUAUGUCUUUCAAGAAAAUGGCAUUGUGGAGUAUGUAGCAAUAAAUUAUUGGGCAUUUGCUUGUUUGGUUACUAUGCAUCUCUAGUAAGGUUGACGUCCUGUGAUCACCACUUGAGGUGGAAUCCAUGCCAAUAUUGUGGUGCUUAUAAUGACUUAGGGAUUAUGAGAAUUGAAAAUUAUGCAAAAAAAAAAACUAAAAAUUUAGAGUUGAUUAUAAUUUUUUUGUGCCAUUCAAUUUAAUUAUGUUCAUCAAAAGAUCAAUUAAUUAACUAACAAUCGCAAUAAUUGGGGUGGAUUAUUAUAAUUAGAUAACACUAGACAAAAUUAUAUAAGGAUGUUAAUAUUUCCUUUAUAAUAUUGAUGAUCCACCCCAAGACACUGUCCUUGAAAUCUAAUGUACCUUGGUAGCUUGAACAAGAUUCAUUCAGAUUUUGUGUUACUAAUGUGUCGUCAAAAAUAUAAACCAAGGACUAGGAUAACUAAAAUGGAAGAGAAAAGGGAUUUUAUGGCGGAGUAGAUCGGGGCUAUUCCUUUACGUGUAAAUUUAAGUUAAAUUGAACUGUUAAAGAUUGAUCACACCAGAAAAAAUAUUCUAUCAUUGAGCUUAUUUUCUUCUUGUCUUUGUCAUUUGUUCAAAUGAUAAAAUAUUGAGGGCGUGGUAAAGCAUAUGUGGUGGCAUAUUGGAGGAGUAGGGUUCUAGAGAGAUCAUAUAUUUGUUACAAUUUCAUAUGUAGCAGUAGUCCGUAAUUUCUUCGAUUUUUAAAUUAAUUAUGUAAAAAUUUUGUUAUUUUUCUCCAUAUAUAUUCAUAUAUAUUUCUCUCUAGCAAUACAUUUUGAGUACAAAGAUCAUGUGACCAAAUUAUGUUCUCCUAACAUAUUAUUGACUUCAUACACGUAGAGUAAUAACAAGAACUUUUAUAUUUAUGCAUUAACAAUUGAAUGAUGGAAGCACGUGCAUAUCUACCAAACCCCCUCCCCCAUGUGUAUAUAUGUAUCACACAUAAGAUGAGAGAAGGAUAGAAAACAAAAUCAAAAUUUCAGGUUGUUAGAGAAAAAAACUUAAAACAGAUGUUUCCUUCAGUGAUUUUCACGUUCUUGGCUGCCUUUCAGUUCCAUACUUUUGAAUUUCUAGUAUGUGCAACUGAUGAAAAGAGUAUCUUCAUACUCGCCGGCCAGAGCAACAUGGCUGGCCGAGGUGGUGUGACAAAUGGGACUUGGGAUGGUUGUGUCCCUCAUGAAUGCCGUCCUGACCCAAGGAUUCUUAGACUUAACCCAAAGCUGAUGUGGGAGGAAGCACGUGAACCUCUACAUGGAGGCAUCGACACAAAACCUUGUGGGGUGGGACCGGGGAUGUCAUUUGCAAAUUCAGUGCUACAAAGAGAUCCUUGCCUCGGGGUGAUCGGUUCGGUCACCUGUGCUCCUGGUGGAACCAAUAUAACCGAGUGGAAACAAGGCUCCGAUCUUUAUUAUCGGCUCUUGAAGAGAGCUAAUGCAGCACUACGAGAUGAAGGAAAAAUUCGAGCAAUUCUGUGGUAUCAAGGUGAAAGUGAUUCUGCAGAUGAAACAAGAGCUAAAAUGUAUAAGAAGAGGUUGAUAGAAUUUUUCCUUCACAUCCGGCGAGAUUUACCUUCCCCUGUGCUCCCAAUUAUUCAGGUAUGGUUACUUUGCAAAAUUUGCGUAAGGUGAACUGAUAUUCUUUAGAUCUGGUUUGAUUUUUCGUCCUAUUUUCUUAAUCAACCACAUGGGGUUUUAAUUUUGGAUCAAAUUGAUUUUUUCGGGAUCUUUUCGAUUACUCAUUCUCUUUGCACUCUGCAUUUUAAUUCCGUUGAUCAACAUAUGCCGUUGGUCUGGUAAUUUUAGACUUCCCCCUAAAAAUGGGGUUUUCAGUUCGUCAUCAAUGAGUUUUCAUCUGAAAAUGUGCUGAAAUUAGUUGCUAAUUGGUUUUAUUGUAUUUAUGCUUAAUGGUUUCGGGGGCAUUUUUGUACAACUUUUUGAAGUUUUGUUAAAAUGACAGUAUUUGUUUUCAUUUUCCAAUGAUUCUCAUAUAUAUAUGUCAAUUAAUUGUAUCUUGUCAGCACAAGGAAUAUUUUAUAUCGAAUAAAUCAUAAAAUUAUAUGAUAAUUGGUUGCAGGUGGCAUUGGCUUCAAAUGCAGGGCUCUAUUACGAGGUUGUAAGAAAGGCCCAACUAGAGAUAAAACUUCCAAAUGUAAUAUGUGUUGAUGCCAAGGGACUGGAGGUGAAGAAAAACGAUACACUUCAUCUUACUACUUCAGCCCAAGUCCACCUAGGAAAAAUGUUGGCUAAUGCCUUUUUCGAUAUUGGAAUUUAUAGUGUUUUGAUCAAGGCAUGGGUGGAAAAAACAUAUUAAAUGGGUAAUAUAGUACUUGUUUGAUAUAGAUUUUUAGCAAACAAUACUAUAUGAAAAUUGUUAAAAGACAAUCAUUGAAGUAGUAGUUAGUGAGAGGAAAAAAAAAAAAAAAAACCUCGUAUAAAUUGUUGCGUAUUCGUUGCAAAAGACAAAAUUCAUUGUCGAAUGGACAAAUAUUUUCUUAAUCAAAAAAUCAACAGUACAAAGAAUUAUUUUUGAAAACUGAAGUUGAAGUUACACUUAAGGAAACCCAUAGUUGCCAAGUUGAGUUGAAGAGUUCUACCCCCAUCAGGCUUUUACUACCUCAUUCGAUUACUUUUUUAAACUUGUUUAGGUGCCUAUAUAAUAUUGUUGAGCAAAUGUUUAAUAUGGAAGGAACUUGUGUAAUUACCUAUAUAAUUUUGUUGAACAAAUGUUUAACUUGGUAGAAGCCUGUCAAGAAAUUAAUGAUAAUUACUAUAGAUGAUUUUCACCUGAAAUAAAACAUUUGAAGCUUUUAACAGCAAUGAACACGUGUCAAUCAAUAAGACAGAAUUAUCUUGAGAUUUACAUCGGUGCUAUCCAACC